UUCAACAUUUCUAUAGCUCCUUUAUAAAAAGAUGAGGAGUUUGUAGAUGUAGGUGGUAAUUUAAUACUAUUAAUAUUCUUACCAUAUUUUUCUUUAUAAUAGUUAUAUAAAUUAUGUAAUAAUGAAUUUAUUUCAUUUUUAAUUUCUUCAAUUUUUAUUUGGUCAUUAAAAUAAAUAAUUGUUAACCAUUCAUCCAAAGCUUCAAAUUUCAAUCUAGGCUCCACAAUUAAAGCAAUAUAAAAAAUUAAAGGUAUUUCCCCCCAAUAUUUUCUAAAUUUUUCUAUCAUUGCAAAUAUUGUAUCAUUAAAUAUUUCAAAACUUAAAUAUUUUUGAAGUACAAUAAAAAUAUUAGUUAUUUGCAUAAUAACUCGAUUUGAAGUUGGAUAAUAUACACCACAAAAAAUGUUUGUUGAAGUAUCAAAAAUUUCAAAAAGAUCUCUUAAAGAUCUGCAAUAUGCCAAUCAUAAUCACUUAAUGCAUAAAUAUCUGCUUCACAAUCAUUGUUAAGUAAUUGUAUUUCAUAUAAUUCGACUACUUUUCUAUAUUUUGUAAUAUUUUGUAAAAGUUUAUAUGUGGAAUUCCAUCUAAUGGCCAUAUCCAAAUUUAUAUUUUUUCUUUUCAUAUUUAACAUUUUGCAACAAUAAAAAAAUAAUUCAUGUUUUGCUUGAGAACUAUUAAUACUAUAUGCAAUGCCUCUAAUUUUUUCCAAUGUAUUAUCAACAUUUUUUAAUCCAUCCUUUACAAUUAAAUUUAAAAUAUGUGCACAACAACGCACAUGAAAUAUUUUAGCAUGAUCUUCUUUUACUUGCUAAUAUCGUUUUAGUCUAUGUAUUGCUGUAUCAUUAUUAGCAGCAUUAUCUAAUGUUAUUGUCAAUAUUUUAUCACGAAUGCCUAAAUCUAUAAUUUCAUCAUUUAUUAAAGAUGCUAUAUUUUUACCACUAUGUGGAGCAUUUAUUAAUUUAAAUGAAAUUAUUCUUUUAUUUAAUUUCCAUUCAUUAUCAAUGUAGUGAGCAGUUAUACAUAAAAAACCAGUGUGAGUUAAAGAUGUCCAAAUAUCAGAUGUUAAACAAAUAUUUCCUUCAAAAUUUGCAAAAAAAAAUUUUAAAAUUUCUUUUUGUGUAUAAAUUUUUUUCAUAAUAUCUCUUUUAACUGUAUUUCCAGACCAACCUUUAAAUUGAGGAUUAAUACCUCGUUGAAUUGUUCCUACAAAAUCAUGAGUUUCCAUCAUGUUGAAAGGUUGUUCUGCUCUUAUUAAAAAAUAAUAUACUUUAUUUAUAUAUAUAUAUAAUUAACUCAAUUGUUAAGCACAAAAGGAAUGUAGCUCAAUUGGUUAGAGUCUUGAUAUGAAAGCAUGAGGGGAGAGGUUCAAAUCCUCCCCUCUCCCUUUCUUUCUUUAAAAGCCAUUUUGGCUUAUUUAAAAAAGCCCACGGCCCGUCGGCCCGCCAACCCGCGGGCUUAUAGGCCGGGUCGUGGGCCUAACAUUUUUCCAUGGCCCGGCCCGAGCUGGGCCGCGGGCCUCCUAUUUACGGCCCGGCCCGGCCCGUUGGAGACCCUUAAACUCAAGUCGGCAUAUUAUUUAUGCCAAUUAUAUUCGAUUCAACUCGAGUUGACUAGGUACUUAAUUAUAAAAGACAAAAAUAGUCAAUAUAAAAGACAAAAAUAAAAAAAUAAAAACAAAAUUAGUUGGUCCAUACAAGUGUACUUAAUUAUUUAAAUUUAUUCUCAUUCUCACAAAAAAAAAAUGGAAAAAAAAGAAGACACUAGUAGACAAAAUUGGGAUAGGUGAGAGAAUUUCUCAUUCCCACCCAUCUUAUUUAAUUUUUAUUUUUUAAAAUUUAAAUUAUAUUAGAACUCAAUAUAAUUUAUUCCCAUCUUAAUUAAUUUUUUAUUUUUAAAAUUUUAAAUUAUAUUAGAAAUCAAUAUAAUUUAUAAAUUUAUGCAUUAAAAAUGAACGAAACUAAAAAUAAUUAAAUUAAAUUAUUUUUAAAUUAUAUUUAUAAUCGAUGAGGUGAUGUCCACUCUCAAAUUUUUUUUUUUUUUUAAAAUAAAUUUGUUUCUAACUCUUCCUAAAUUCUUCUUAUUGCCAUGGAACAUGCAAACAUUCAAAUAUAGUGUUCUUUUACAUCUUAACAAAACUAUUAUAUAAUAAAAGAGUGAUAAAAUAAAAUAAAAAUUUUCCAUGAUGAUAAUAAUAAUAAUAAUAAUAANNNNNNNNNNNNNNNNNNNNNNNNNNNNNNNNNNNNNNNNNNNNNNNNNNNNNNNNNNNNNNNNNNNNNNNNNNNNNNNNNNNNNNNNNNNNNNNNNNNNAAGGUUAUGAUUGUUCCAAACAAUGAUGAAUUUUAGUAAUUUGAUUUUACAAAUAUAUCAAAAAAAAUCGAUGAGUAUUUUAAUAUAAGAUAUUGAUGGAUAAAAAAUUAAUCAAAACUCAUAAAAUUAUAAAUAAAUAAAAAAAGUAAAAAACUCUUAAAAAUGAAAUUAAAAAUAUAAUAAAUAUUUUUAAGUUAUUUUAUUAAAAAAAUUAAUACAUAAAUAAUAUAAUUUAUAAUAUUCAAUAAUAAUACUUAUAACUUAAAAACAUAUUUUAUAUACAUCAAUUUAAUUUAGAUAUAUUCAAUGACAUAAAAAAAAUGAUAAUAUAUGUAUAAGUAUUUUUUUAUUAAAAUGUUAAUAAUUUUAUUUAUUAAUUUAUAUUUAUUUUGUAUGUAGUUAUUAUAUAUAUAUAUAUAUAUAUAUAUAUAUAUAUAUAUAUAUAUAUAUAUAUAUAUACAUAUAUAAGUAUUAAAAAAUUAUUUUUUGAAUAUUAUAAAUAAUAAUUUUAACGUUAUAUAACAAACAUAUGUGAAUAAAAUAACAUAAGUUGAUUGGGUGGCAAGGCUUCCCCUUUCAAAUGUGAAGUCUGGGUUUCAACUUUCAAAGCGUUCCACCACGAUCUAAAUCAUGAUGGCCCACGAAAGGUACAGCGUGAAGAGUGGGGACAAAAAAGUCAAAACUAAUAUGGAAGCUUCUGAGCUGGGGCCCGCAAACCAGUUUUCAUCGUGGGUCCCAAACUCCAACUUAGUCUUCAAUAAUUUCCACAUGGAUGUUAAAAUUUUCGGGAUACCGAUAUUGACACUUCAUCCCUUUCCAAAAAAAUCUUUGAAGGGGGGUUAGGUCCGUUCAUAUGAGAAAUCCCUAUCCCUCUUCCAUCUUGCCUUAUCUCGUUUAAUAUUUUUUUUUAUUUAUAAUUUUAAUUAUAUUAUAAAUUUUUGUUAUUAUUAUUAUUUUUAUAAAAUGUAAUUUUCUUUUAUGUAUUUAUAAGGAGGGGAAAUAAGCGUUGAUUUGCUUGAAUUUGUAGGAGGUUUUAAAUUUUUUAAUCCUAUUUAUAUAUUAUUUAUGUCUCUCUAGCUAAUCUUAAAAAGGGGUGUAGUAAAAAACCCGAUAAAGGAUAUUUUUAUCAAGGUAGAUGUUGAAUGGUUUAAAUAUUGGGUAUGACUAAAUUGAAGUUAACAAACAAAUAACAUAAAUACAAGGGCUAAAUCAUAAAAAUAUACAUAGUGAGCCCACAAAAAAAGAAAAAAAUUAUGGAUUGAUAGUAAUAUCAUAAUAAUAAGACAUAAAUAAAUGGAUAAAUGAAUAAUAUUAUAAUAAUUAAUACAUUAAAAAAUGUGAUUUUUAUAAGAAACACUUGCAUUGAUAGUAUCUAAAUUUAACUAUUUGAUUUAUAAAUGAUUAUUUAUUUUUAAAAAUAAAUAAUUAUUUUUUAAAAUUUUGUAGUAUCAUUUAGCUAUUGUCAUUUCACAAUAGUUUUUUUUUUAAAAUAAUAGCUUCUCUGAAUGUCCUCAUUAAACAAACAUAUUUCAAAUCAAAUCAAACUUAACGCAUAUUUGUUAAUUUAAAAAAAUAAAAAAUCUAUGGAAUCAAUACUUGAAAGUCACAAUAUCCAAAUUAAUAUACUUAAUACUAAAAAAUCAUAAAUCAAAAUUUAUUGGAAACUGGAAAUACUUUCCUAAUUUCCCAUUUUUAAUAUAAUUUUAAUUUUUUUAUUUUUCUAUUAAGUAAGUAAACUCUAAAUCAAGUGAGGUUAGUGUAUUGGAUUCAUAAAAAAAUAAUUUUUAAAAAUAAUUAUAAACUUAAAUAUUAACCCAAUAGAUAAAAAAAAUCAAGAACAAAAAGAUUGUAUAUAUUUUUCUCAAUUUUCUCAUUAAAGUACGUCCAUUUUCUAAACUAAUUAAAAAAACUCUAUACUUUAAUAUUUUCUAAAAUAAAAUCAUCUUUAAAAAAGAGUUUAAAAACCAUUUUUUAAAAUUAUAAUGUCAAUCAUAUUUUAUAUAUGACCAUUCUUUAACAUUCAAAAACCAAAUCCCAAACUAUUUUUAUUAAUAAUGUAAACACCUGGGUUAUGUUUAGUUCCUCAAAAGUUUAAGGAAACUCAAGAAAGUUUGGAGGACAACACAUGGAAAAAAAUAGAAAGGAAUAUAGAUGGAAAGAAAAAAAAAAAAGAAUAGAUUUAAAGUCAAUAAAUUAUUUUUAUAUAUUAUUUUAUAUUAAUUUUUUAUAUAAAAAUUAAAUAAUUUUAAGAAAUAUGUAAUUUUCUUAUACAUUUUACUUUUCUUCACAUUUUUCAUAAUAAAAUCAAAUAUAAAAAAAUUAUUUUUCUUUUUUUCGUUUUUUCCUAAUACUUUCCAUGAAGUAACAUGACCCUAAGAGUUGAUUUGUUCUCAAGACUUUUUUUUUUCUUUUAUCCUAAUACUUUCCGCAAAGUAACAUGACCCUAACAGUUGAUUUGUUCUUAAGUCUUGACAACUAAUUUUCUUUAGAAAGCGAGAGGGGUUUUUUACUAUUCCACAAAGAAAAACAAAAAAAUCAACUACAUUUAUGAUUUUAAUGACCAUCCUUUGUGUUUACUUCCAUGGAAAGAAAAUAAAAAAUGGAUUUAUAGAAAGUGAAGGAAUACGUGAGGUGAAUGAUAUCAUCAAUCAUAAGCAAUAAUACUUAUGUAUUAUAAAAUUUAUAUUCAAACAUAAAUUUCAUAAAAAAAUCUAUUAAUUGUAAGUUAAGAAAUAAAGAAAGAAGAAACCAUCGAUGAAUGAGGUGACCAAUUCCGUGUAAAGCAUAUUUAACUUUUAAUAGUUAUGUAUUAUAAAAUUCAUAUCUAAAUAUUAAAUUUUAUCAAAAAUCGAUUAAUUGUAAGUGAAGAAAUAAGGAAAGAAAUCAUUGAUAAAGUAUAUGUAACCAAUACUACUUGUAAAGUUUAUAUUCACAUAUAAAUUUCAUUUUCACCACUCACGUGAUUUUUAAUAAUUAAUUGAUUAAAAUUGAUAUGCUAUACAAAUAGUGAAGUAGAAAUUGUUAAAAAAAAAAAUUAAUAAUUUUGUGGAAGGGUUAAAAGUGGGUUAAUUUUUUUUUUUUUUUUUUCAUUUUUUAAUAGUUCGAUGUAAUUUCUAACAACGAUCGUGGAAACUCCAAUGCCAUUUCGUUUGAGAGUAUCUUUCAUUGGUCCAAUGGACCGGAGGAACAAGUUGAAUAUAUCAUCGUAUAAAUAAAAGACAAACAUUUGGGGGAUUAACACAAGUAUCCAACCCAUUCCCACCAAUUCACAGUAGCUCCACGUUUCAUAAUCUGUCUCAAAUUCUUGAACUUCUUUAAAGAGCGUUGAAGGGUGUGAUGAGAUUUUUGGCUUUGUUUAGUCUUCUCUUUUCAGUACUGAUGUUUCCAGCAGCAGAGGCUAGAAUCAGAAGGUAUAGAUGGGAGGUGAAGUAUGAGUACAAGUCUCCUGAUUGCUUUCAGAAGAUGGUUAUCACCAUCAAUGGAGAAAGCCCCGGUCCAACAAUCCUGGCCGAAGAAGGAGACACCGUCAGUGUUGAGCUCACAAAUAGUUUGUUGACAGAAAAUGUUGCAAUCCACUGGCAUGGUAUCAGACAGGUAGAGCAAAGAUUAAUAUAUAAUGUUUUCUUUUUUCUUCCCCUUUCUGGGCUUAAUUUUGCAGUUCUGAUGGUUCAUCUUCUUGAUAAUUACAGAUUGGGACGCCGUGGUUUGAUGGAACGGAAGGGGUGACCCAGUGUCCAAUCCUGCCAGGAGAUACCUUCACAUAUGAGUAUAAAGUGGAUAGGGUAAGAUUGAUCAGUGGUCUUAAUCAAGAAAGUUGGAACCAGUACUACUUUCAAUUAUCUGAUGAUAUUAUUCUUUGGUUUAUGCAGCCUGGGACUUAUCUAUACCAUGCCCAUUACGGAAUGCAAAGAGAAGCUGGGCUGUAUGGAUCGAUUUGUGUGUCGGUUGCUCGUGGGAAGACUGAGCCCUUUUCCUAUGACCACGACCGGAGCAUCAUCCUCACUGACUGGUACCAUAAUACCACUUAUGAACAAGCCCUAGGCUUGUCCUCCAUUCCUUUUGACUGGGUCGGGGAGCCUCAGGUGAAUGCCAACUACUACUGCUUCCGCCAUAGCAUACUGGUUUGUUCUGCUCUUCAUCUUCUGACGCCUUUUUCUGUCUGUUAAUUUUUCAGUCCCUUCUCAUUCAAGGAAAAGGAAGAUACAACUGCUCCCUAGUUUCAAGUCCUUACGUCUGUAAUUCAACAAGUCCUCAGUGUUCUCCCUAUGUACUCACUGUAGUUCCGGGGAAAACAUAUCGCCUUCGGGUCUCCAGCUUGACUUCCCUGUCAGCUCUCAGUUUCCAAAUAGAGGUUGGUAUAAUUAAAAACUUCACCGUGGUUUCUUAUUCGUUGCUUCUACUUGGUCAAGUCACAUUCCACACAAAAAAGUCAGAACACUACAUAUUUAAGAACUCAUCUUUAGCUAUAUAAUUGUGUUUUAAAUAAGUAAAGUUUCUGUUAUGAAUAGUAUUAGAGUUAAUUCUUAACUUCAUUGUAUGAGUUUGAUUGGUCCCAUAAGUGAUGUUUAUAUGUUUGAUCCUAUGAUCUCAUGAAAUAUAAUGAGGAUGAUGUAUUUGUACAAUAAUAAUUGUAAUAUUCUAUAUCAGAUAUUGAAAAAGUUUUUAAUAUUAUAUAUAUAUAUAUAUAUAUAUAUAUAUAUGAACUUCUCUUAACCCCGUGGACUUUAAACAUGUGAGGGGGUUUUGGGUCCAAAAUGAAGAAUAUCUACACAUUUCAAAAUGGUUUAUCACAAAAACUGUGCAUGUUCUAAUACAGUUUUAAUUUAUAACACUGUAGGGUCACAACAUGACUGUAGUUGAAGCAGAUGGGCACUUUGUGGAACCCUUUGUGAUAAAAAACCUCUUCAUUUACUCAGGGGAGACCUAUUCAGUUCUGGUGAAGGCUGAUCAAGACCCUUCAAGAAAUUACUGGGUCACAACCAGUGUGGUCAGUAGAAACAACACUGUCACUCCUCUGGGCUUGGCCAUUUUAAAUUACUACCCCAACCAUCCCAAGAAGUCUCCUCCAACAGUCCCACCCGCUGGCCCUCUUUGGAACGACGUAGAGCCACGCAUCAACCAAAGUCGUGCCAUUAAAGCCCACCAUGACUAUGUUGUCCCCCCUCCUCUCACCUCAGACAGAGUAAUUCUGAUGCUCAAUACACAGAAUGAGAUCAAUGGUUACAGGAGGUGGUCUGUGAACAAUGUGUCCUUCAACCUCCCACACACACCCUACCUAAUUGCUCUAAAGGAGAAUAUAACUGGUGCCUUCGACCCAACCCCACCUCCAAAUGGUUAUGAUUUUGUAAACUAUGAUAUCCACAAUGUGUCGAAUAACACCAACGCUACAUCCAGCAACUCAAUUUAUAGGCUGCAGUUCAAUACAACAGUGGAUAUUAUACUGCAAAACGCAAACACCAUGAAGAAGAAUGACAGCGAGACGCACCCAUGGCAUCUCCACGGGCAUAAUUUUUGGGUACUGGGCUAUGGAAAAGGUAAGUUCGACAAUUUCAGUGAUCCAAUAAAGUACAAUCUGAUCGACCCAAUUAUGAAGAACACAGCACCUGUUCAUCCUUAUGGAUGGACUGCCUUAAGGUUUCGAUCUGAUAACCCAGGUACCUGGGCAUUCCAUUGCCAUAUAGAGUCUCAUUUCUAUUUGGGUAUGGGAGUUGUUUUUGAAGAAGGGGUGGAGAGGGUGGGAAAGCUGCCUUCAUCUAUCAUGGGUUGCGGUAAAGCCAAGGGUCUCGGCGGCAGGCCAUAAUAUGCAGGUAAGUUGAGCAUGAAAAAAGAAAAUAAGAUUAUCAAAUCUUUACAAACCUCUCUAGUUCAAAGCCCCAAACAUCUUGUAAUAACAAUAAUAAUUACUAUUACCUGUUUUUUAUACAUAGUAUCAAUGCUAUUUUUUAUUUUGAGGUGAAAUGCAUAGAAAAAAGAAAUAGUAUUAUGCAUAGAAAAAAGAAAAAAAAAAUCAUGGUUGGAAAUAGGGGUCUCCAACGGGCGGGCCGGGCCUAUGGGCCCGUUGACUGGUCAACGGGCCGGGCCGGGCCGGGCCAUGCUAAAAUGCUAGGCCCACGGCCCGGCUUAUGAGCCCGCGGGCUAGCGGGCUUUUUGAAAUAAGCCAAAAUGGCUUUCACAAAAGCCAAGAGAAGGGAGAGGAGGGGAUUGGAACCCCUCCCCUCAUAUUUAAACUUCAAGGUUCUAACAUGCUGAACUACAUUCUUUUUAUGUUUAUUAAUUGAGUUAGUUAUAUAUAUAUAUAAAUAAAGUAUAUUAUUUUUGUAGUUUUUUUUUAAAGGGGCGGGCCUAAGGACGGGCCUACGGGCCGGGCCGGCCCUCCGGGCCUAAAUUUAGGCCCGCGGCCCGGCCCGCCCAUAAACGGGGUCGGGCCGGGCCUAAAGCAGGCCGCGGGCCGCAGGCUUUUUGGAGACCCUUAGUUGGAAAGGUUAAGUAACAAAAGCCAUUGAAAUGACUACUAUCUAUUUAUUUAAGUUAAAUUAUAAGAAAAAAGAUUUUAAACCUUCAAGUCAAGUAAUAAAAUUUCUCUUCAGCUUCAUAUUGGAUGAAGGUUCAAACCAAAAACGCUCCGAUGAUCAAACCUAUCACUCAGAUUAGGUACAUAAAAAAAACUUCAAAACAUUAGAGAAAAUACAACAAUAAUAAAUUAACAUAAGUUUAUGUGGUAUGAUAUUAAAAAAACAACAUCCCCAAUAAAGUGGGAUAUCUCCAACAACCUUUUCAAAACUUUAGGCUGACGGAUAAGGACAGACAUUCAAUAAUUGAAAUAAAAAUGUGCAGAGGCAAGAAUUUAAGAUGUAUACCAAGAAGUUUAGGCUCACUAUGUAUAACAUGUUAGAAUUUCAUGAUUCCAUGAUGCAAUUAGGAAACUAGUAGUAUAAUCUAAGGUGGCAAAUUGCCAGUCCAUAAUGACAAAAUUGAAUCCUAGUUAGAUACCAAACUCAUCCCAUACAACAAAAAUGAGUCAUUCAGACUAAAGAUUAAACUGAAAUAUGAACAUCAUCUCCAUCAAAUCAUAUAUAUCCAAAUCUCUCAUCUCAAAACCAUCAAUUAUUAGUUAUUACCAGAGAAACAGAUUUGACAAUGUAUAAAACAUGUAGAUAAAUCAAGCCCAAAAAGGAAGGGUGCCAAUUCUGAAGAAAGAAUACCUCAUAUUCGAGUACAAGAUGAAUCAAAAUCAUCAGGAGCAACUCGAGCAAUCCAAUUGCUCAGCGUCCUCUUAAUAUCAGAAUGAUUAACAUAGGCCAACUCAUACAUGCUACACAAAUUAACCACAAGAGUCUCAUUCAGAGCUAUUGUAGGAACCCUUUCGAGGGCAUUCUCCAACACCUUGAUCGAAUCCGAUAAGUCCCUCAAAUACAUCAAGCACAGAGCUUUGUUAUUGAUAGCCACAACAUCCGAACCAUCCCUCUCAAUGCACUCCUCGUACUCCCUCACUGCAGACACAUAAUCUUUUCCCACUAAGUAAACCAGCGCCUUAUUCCGAUUCACAAGGUUCUUGAACUCAAUUUCGCUCAAUGAACCUAAUCUCUCUUCCUUACCCAUCUUCUCUACCAGUUCGAACGACGCCUUCGCCCCCUCCAAAUCCCCAAUCUGCAGCUGAAUGCAGCCGAGCUUCGACACCAGCGCCGGAUCAUCGCGGCAUCUGCCGCUCAGUAACUGCCUGAUCAAACUCACACACACACCAAAUUCCUUGUGACUCAAAUGGUGCCCGAUUAUCGAAUUCACCACAAAAACCUCCCUCCUCUUCCACACAUCCGCAGAAACCCCCAGCCCCCUCGACCCUUUCUCAUCCACCCUCGUCCGCGCAAAAUCGAGCAGCGUAUACAACCGAUCUAGGGUUUCCUGGCGCUUCCCCAAUUUCAACGGAAUCUCGGCAUGGAUCCACCGGAGAGCGAACGGAAUCAUGGAACCAGACCGGCCGGGGUACACAUCAGGGUGCGAUUCGUACUGGUAGAUGGAGUGAUCGAGAUCCUCCAGCGAUGCCAGCUCCUCCGAAACGUCGCCGUAUCGACGGAGCUUGAUGAGAGCCAGGACGUUGUAGGAGAAAUAGCAUAGGUGUUCGUGGGGCUUUUGGAGGAGAGAGAGCUUGCGGGCGCGAGAGACCUUGUCGAGAAUGGAACGCCAUGAGCCUCGAGUGGCGAGCUCUUGGAGAGACGAGAGCUCGUAGCAGAGGUCGUUGAGGGAGCCGAACGGGCUCGACAGUGGGUCGCUGGCGACAAAGCCAUCAGCGGCCGGAGUUGAAUCCUCCGACGGGGAAUCGGUGGCCAUGUUUCGUGAAUUGAAGAAUGGCUCGACUCAGCUUCACUGCUGUGGGAAUAGCUUGCGACGAUCAGAUCCGGCUGCUUUUAAUUAUUAUUAUUCUUUUUUACUUAUGAAUUUAUUUUUCAAAAUAUGUUUUAUACAUUAAUCACUCCUAAAUUUGUUUAAUAUGAUAUAAAAUUUUAAAAUUUACCCAAUAAUAUUUUAGGCUUAUAAAUGGCUGGUUUCAAGCCCAAUUCAACAUAAAUUGAGUAAUAACUAAACUUGAAGUGAUAGUUAAUAUUUUAUUUUUAUUUUUUUAGUUUUACAGUUUUUUAAGUCUUUAAUUAUAUUUUUAAUUUUUAAAAUUUUUUAUUUUAUUAAUCUUAAAUCAAUUAUCAUAUUAAAAUAAAUUUUCAAUUAAUAUUAUUAACUUGGCAAGAGGUCAUUUCAAAAAAUAAUUAUUUGAAUUAUAAAAAAAUUUAUAUAUUUUAAAAUAUUUUUAAAUGUAUGAAAAUAUAGGGUUGUUUUUGUUAUAUAUUAUUUUUAAAAGUCAAAACCUAUUUUUUUUUUCUUUGAAUUAAAUACAUCUAAUCAUCAUUCAUUUAAUAAAAUUUAAAGUUCAUGGUGGCUAAAUUUAUUUAGUUCAAGGAGGGUGAAAUUUACCAUUUUAAAUGGUAAUGCAUCAUUUCUAAUUUCAAGAAUCAUUACAUGUGGAUAAUACAAUAUAUGAUUAAAUAUGACAAAGUCAAAGAAAAAAGUGAGUAGGAUGCCAGUGCACAGAAGCUACUUGACCCAUAAGGUUAAGGGUACAUUAGCCACCCAAAAUGGGCUGAGUUUCUUAGUCUGGGUCAUUCUCCAUACCCACUUUGGGCCAAGUUCGACUAGGCCCAAAGUCGAUAUCCAGGUCGACUUACGACCCAAUCCUAUCUUGGUUUGGGCCUUGGCAAGGUCGGGUUAGGCUUGCUAUUUUUUUAUUUAUAAUGUAAAAAUGGUUCAAAUAUUCUCCGUGUUUCUAAUUUAUGUUCAUUACAUCUUUUGAAAAAAAAAAAUCAAAAUGCCAUAAAUUUGUUUUGAAAACAACCCAUUUUAAAAACAAAUUCUCCAAAAAUAAAAAAUUGUUUUAAGUAAAAGAUUUGUUGAACUUGUUUUAUAAGUUACAAAAGUUUUUUCUAUUUUAAAAAAUAAAAAGUUGUUUUAGUUUUCAAACAAACUCAUCAACCAAAUAAGAUGAAAUAUUAAAUAAAUAAAUAAAUUUAAAUUUAUUUUCUUUGUUUUUUUAAGCAAUGUUUUAAAAAUCAAACUGAUUAUUGAAACGAAAAAAUUAUGAUUUACUGUUCAAUGGUUGAACUAGUGGUUGAACGGUAAUAAAACCGAUAACAUCAUAAAUAUAUUAUUUAUAUAUUAUUAAAUUAAAAAUAAUUUUAAAAUUUUAAAAUAAACAUAUAAAUAAAUUAAAAAUCAAUAAUAUUUAUUUUUUAUCUUUUAUAUUAUUAAAUUAAAUAAUGCAUGACUAUAAAUGUAUUAAUAUACUAAAUUUUAUUAAAUGAGAUAUGUAUAAUAUUUUAAGUGGAUAUAUUAAAAAUCAAAGAAAAUCCAAUUAUUUAAUUUUAGCUAAUUUUAUAAUUUUUAAAAAUAUUAUAUUAUUGUUAUUCAAUAUUUUAAAUUUUUAUUUUAGAAAAGAAAUAUAUUGUUUUUUGUUUGCCUUACAGAGCAUCAAAACAUGUGUAGCCGGAUGGUGCCCCCAUGCCACUUCCUAAGCGCUUUUCAUUCACUGAUUUUCCCUUAACUUUAAGAUCAUAUUGUCCAUAAGAAAAAAAAAUAUGGGCUGGCAUUUUAAAAUGGGCCUGAUUGAAUAAAAAAAGAAAGGGUGGAAAUAUAGGGAGGGCCUUGGAAUUGGGCCCAUUUUGAAUUAAAAAAAAAAUAAUAAACGGUCAUUGGAUCGAGACUGUUCGGUUCUGCAUUGUGCGGAAUAAAAGAAUAUGGGCUGGCAUUUUAAAAUGGGCUUGGUUGAAUAAAAGAAGAAAGGGUGGCAAUAGAAGCUUGCCCUUGGAAUUGGGCCAUUUUGAAUAUAAAAAAAAUGGGUCAUUGGAUCGUUCGAUUUACCGGUUCGACCAGUUCUUGACCUGUUUCCAAAGGAGAGAAUCCAGACCGGAAAGAUUAUCAGAUGACAGUUGGACUAAAAUUAAAAUUUAAAACUAUUGUAUAUAUAUAUAUAUAUAAAAGAAAAAACUUGAGCGAAAAAAUAGAAUAUAAGAAAAUAGAAAAUAGGUUUAAAAUUAAUAAAUUAUUUUUAUGUUUAUUUAUUUUAAUACUUUUUAUAUAAAGAUUAAAUAAAUUUAAAAUAUAUAAUUUUUUAUUAAUUUUAAUUAUAUAUAAUUUUAAACAUAAUAAAAUUAUUUUUUAAUAUUUUUUAUUUUCUUAGUAUUUUUCAAGGAUAAAAAAUAACUUAUAGGAAACCGAUGAAACGUUAUUUAGUAUUUAUUUCUUUUAGAAAUUCAAACAGGAGGUUGGUUUUGAAUGGCCUACCUUCAAUUGGUCAAAGUUUGUAGAAGAAAUGACGCCCACGAACCACGUGCCUUGGUUUCUUAGUCAAGCUCUAACAAUAACAAAAAGUCAAAAAUAAUUAAUCAGUUCCAACUGUAACAUUCUUGGUUACUUCCGAGUUUCACAUAGUGGGAUUACUUUGAAAGUUCAAAGUCAAUCUAACAAAUUACAAGUCCGUCCACUGAUAUGGUAGGGGGACCCACACGUUUUCUAUUGACUAACAUUCUUUAAAAUAAUUCUUCAAAAUAUACAUCAUGUUUUGGAAUGUUUAAAAAAAUUUAAACAAUUUUUGAAAAACAAAACAAUUCUCAAUUAUUUUUUAAAAUAAAAUUUUAUUUUAAAAUUUAAAUUUAAAAGAUAGUUUUUUUAUUUAUUAUUCGGAAUUUACUAUCUAAUUAUAUAUAAUGUCAAAUAUUUUAAAGGGUUUUUCAUAUUUUUUAUUAUCAUUUAAAACAUUGUAAAAAAUAACUGAAAAAACUUACGUUAUGAUUGGUUUCGAAAGAUAUAAUGAAAAAAAAAAAAACACUAGAAAAGAAAUGGGUAAGUAUGUCUUUUCAAAAGAAUACUUCCAAGGUGUGGUUUAAAAGGUCAAUUUGCUUUGAAAGAAAAUUAAUUCCAACUUUGAAAAAAUCCAUUGGAUUAGAGUGAUUGAAGGAAAUAUAUCAUUUCAAUCCACAUCUGAUAAGACUUGGAAGACUGUUCUAUAAAAUGACUAAUUGUUUGGUGGCGAUUUUAAAAAAGUUUUUUUUUUUUUAGUUUUUUAAUAUUUAAAAUUUUUUAUUUUAAAAUAUUUUAAAAAAUUAUAAAUAUUUUCUAAAAUUACUAUCAAAUACAUUUUUAAUUUGAUUGAAGUGUUAAUGAAUCAAAUUUAAUUGAAGUAUAGUAUUUUAAAAUUAAAAAGAAAAGACAAGUUUAAUGCUUACACCAAAAUGAUUUUAAAAUCAUUUCUAAUUAAUCAAAAAGAAAAAUCAUCUAUAUUUAACUCACUUGCUUAAUCAUGCCAAAAUUAUUUUUUUUUAUAAGCUCCCAUAUGUAUUUAUAAAUUUUAUAUAUUUAAAAAUAUAAAAUCAUAAAAUAAGUUUGUAAAUAUAAAUAUUAUAUAGUUAAAAAAAUUAAAUAACCAAUAAAGUAAAAUUGUAUAUAUUUUGUUAAAAAAUUAAAAGUUAAUUUAUUUUUUAUUUUUUAUUUUUAAAAUAAAAUUUUUUAUAUAAAAGAUAAUAACUCUUACCAAAAGAACAAAAAUUCACCUUGUAUUCUUAAAACCAAUUUUUUUUUUUUUUUACUUCCUUAAGCUUUAAAUUUUUUUUGUAUAAUAAUUUCCAUCUUUUAUACAAGAUUUUCUAUUUUUUAAAAUAAAGGAGAUGUAUUUAAAUAUGUAUUAAAAUAAUAAAAGUUUUAAAAGUAAUUAAAAAUUAUUUUAAAAUAAAAUAUUUAUAAAUUAAAAAAAAUUAAAACAAGUUACUAACAAAUUUAAUGGGCUAUAGACUCAUGUCGACAUAUUAUUUGUGCCAAUUAUAUUCGAUUUAACUGGAGUUGACCAGGUCAACUAUCCAUGUACUUUGAAGGAGUCAAUGGUCAAUAUAAAAGACAAAAAAACAAAAUUAGUUGGUCCAUGUAAGUGUACUUAAUUAUUUAAAUUUAUUCUUAUUCUCACAAAAAACAAAAAAAAAAAAAGAAGAAAAAAAAGACACUAGUGGACAAAAUUGGGAUAGGUGAGAGAAUUUCUCAUCCCCACCCAUCUUAUUUAAUUUUUAUUUUUUAAAAUAUAAAUUAUAUUAGAACUCAGUAUAAUUUAUUCCCAUCUUAAUUAAUUUUUUAUUUUUAAAAAUUUACAUUAUAUUAGAAAUCAAUAUAAUUUAUAAAUUUAUGCAUUAAAAAUGAGCGAAACUAAAAAUAAUUAAAUUAAAUUAUUUUUAAAUUAUAUUUAUAAUUGAUGAGGUGAUAUCCACUCUCAAAUUUUAUUUUAUUUUUAAAUAAAUUUGUUUCUAACUCUUCCUAAAUUCUUCUUAUUGCCAAGGAACAUGCAAACAUUCAAAUAUAGUGUUCUUUUUCAUCUUAACAAAACUAUUAUAUAUUAAAAGAGUGAUAAAAUAAAAUAAAAAAUUUCCGUGAUAAAAAUAAUAAUAAUAAUAGUAACAUGUAAGAUGUUGUCCAUUAUAGUCGAAGUCAGUCGUUAUGGUUAUUUGCCUUCGUAUGAAGGUUAUGAUUGUCUCAAAUAAUAAUGAAUUUUGAUAAUUUGAUUUUACAGAUAUAUAAAAAAAAAAUAUAGAUGAGUAUUUUAAUAUAAGAUAUCGGUGAAUAAAAAAUUAACCAAAAAUCAUGAAAAUAUAAGAAAAAAGUCAAAAACUCUUAAAAAUUAAAUUAAAAGUAUAAUAAAUAUUUUAAAGUUGUUUUAUUGAAGAAAUUAAUAUAUAAAUAAUAUAAUUUAUAAUAUUCAAUAAUAAUACUUAUAACUUAAAAACAUAUUUUAUAUACAUCAAUUUAAUUUGGAUAUAUUCAAUGACAUAAAAAAAUGAUGAUACAUGUAUAAGUAUUUUUUUAUUAAAAUGUUAAUAAUUUUUUUUAUUAAUUUAUAUUUAUUUUGUAUGUAGUUAUUAACUUAUUAUACAAAAGACAUGAUAAUUAAAAUUAAUUUAUGAUAUAUAUAUAUAUACACGUAUUAAAAAAUUUAUUUUUUGAAUAUUAUAUAUAAUAAUUUUAACGUUAUAUAACAAACAUACGUGAAUAAAAUAACAUAAGUUGAUUGGGCGGCAAGGCUUUCCCUUUCAAAUGUGAAGUCUGGGUUUCAACUUUCAAACCCUUCCGCCACGAUCUAAAUUAUGAUGGCCCACAAAAGAUACAGCGUGAAGAGUGGGGAUAAAAAAGUCAAACUAAUAUAGAAGCUUCUGAGCUGGGGCCCGCAAACCAAUUUUCGUCGUGGCCCGUGGGUCCCAAACUCCAACUUAGUUGUUAUUAAUUUCCACAUGGAUGUUAACAAUUUCGGGAUACCGAUAUUGACGCUUCAUCCCUUUCCAAAAAAAUGUUUUGAAGGGGGUUAGGUGCGUUCAUAUGAGAAAUCCCUAUCCCUCUUCCAUCUUGCCUUAUCUCGUUUAAUAUUUAUUUUUUAUUUUUAUAAUUUUUAAUUAUAUUAUAAAAUUUUGUUAUUAUUAUUAUUAUUUUUAUAAAAUGUAAAUUUUUUUUUAUGUAUUAUAAGGAGGGGAAAUAAAAAUUAAAUCAAAUUAAUUAUUAUUAUUAUUUAACCAUGUAUAUAAUGAUAAGCGUUGAUUUGCUCGAAUUUGUAGGAGGUUUUAAGUUUUCCAAUCCUAUUUAUAUAUUAUUUAUGUCUCUCUAAUCUUAAAAAGGGAUGUAUUAAAAAACCCGAUAAAGGAUAUUUUUAUCAAGGUAGAUGUUGAAUGGUUUAAAUAUUGGGCAUGACUAAAUUGAAGUUAACAAACAAAUAACAUAAAUACAAGGGCUAAAUCAUAAAAAUAUACAUAGUGAGCCCCACAAAAAAAGAAUAAAUUAUGGAUUGAUAGUAAUAUCAUAAUAAUAAGACAUAAAUAAAUGGAUAAAUGAAUAAUAUUAUAAUAAUUAAUACGUUAAAAAAUGUGAUUUUUAUAAAAAAACACUCACAUUGAUAGUAUCUAAAUUUAACUAUUUGAUUUAUAAAUGAUUAUUUAUUUUUAAAAAUAAAUAAUUAUUUUUUAAAAUUUUGUAGUAUCAUUUAGCUAUUGUCAUUUCACAAUAAUUUUUUUUAAAACAAUAGCUUCUCUAAAUGUUCUCCUUAGACAAACAUAUUUCAAAUCAAAUCUAACGCAUAAUUGUUAAUUUAAAAAAAAAUAAAUAAAUAAAUCUAUGGAAUCAAUACUUGAAAGUCACAAAAUCCAAAAAUUAGUAUAAUUAAUACUAAAAAGUCAUAAAUUAAAAUUGAUUGAAAACCGGAAAUACUUUCCUAAUUUCCCAUUUUUAAUAUAAUUUUAAUUUUUUUUAUUUUUCUAUUAAGUAAGUAAACUCUAAAUCAAGUGAGGUUAGUGUAUUGGAUUUAUAAAAAAAUAAUUUUAAAAAAUAAUUAUAAACUUAAAUAUUAACCCAAUAGAUAAAAAAAAAAUCAAGAACAAAAAGAUUAUAUAUUUUUUUCUGAAUUUUCUCAUUAAAGUAGCUCCAUUUUCUAAACUAAUUAAAAAACUCUAUACUUUAAUAUUUUCUAAAAUAAAAUCAUCUUUAAAAAAGAAUUUAAAAACCAUUUUUUAAAAUUAUAAUGUCAAUCAUAUUUUAUAUACGACCAUUCUUUAAUAUUCAAAAACCAAAUCCCAAACUAUUUUUAUUAAUAAUGUAAACACCUAGGUUAUGUUUAGUUUCUCAAAAGUUUGAGGGAAAACCUGAGAAAGUUUGGAGGACAACACACGAAAAAAAAAAUAGAAAGGAAUAUAGAUGGAAAGAAAAAGUAAAAAAAAAAAAAAAGAUUUAAAGGUAAUAAAUUAUUUUUAUAUAUUAUUUCAUAUUAAUUUUUUAUAUAAAAAUUAAAUAAUUUUAAGAAAUAUGUAAUUUUCUUAUACAUUUUACUUUCCUUCACAUUUUUCAUAAUAAAAUCAAAUAUAAAAAAAUUAUUUUUCUUUUUUUUCCUAAUACUUUCCACGAAGUAACAUGGCCCUAAGAGUUCUCAAGACUUUUUUUUUUCUUUUGUCCUAAUACUUUCCACGAAGUAACAUGACCCUAACAGUUGAUUUGUUCUUGAUUUGUUCUUAAGUCUUGACAACUAAUUUUCUUUAGAAAGCGUGUGGGGUUUUUUACUAUUCCAGAAAGAAAAACAAAAAAAUCAACUUCACCUUUAUGAUUUUAAUGACCAUCCUUUAUGUUUACUUCCAUGGAAAGAAAAUAAAAAAUCGAUUUAUUGAAAGUGAAGGAAUACGUCAGGUGAAUGAUAUCAUCAAUCAUAAGCAAUAAUAUUUAUGUAUUAUAAAAUUUAUAUUCAAACAUAAAUUUCAUAAAAAAAUCUAUUAAUUGUAAGCUAAGAAAUAAAGAAAGAAGAAGCCAUCCAUGAAUGAGGUGAUCAAUUCCGUGGCAUAUUUAACUUCUAAUAAUUAUGUAUUAUAAAAUUCAUAUCUAAAUAUUAAAUUUUAUCAAAAAUCGAUUAAUUGUAAGUGAAGAAAUAAGGAAAGAAGUCAUUGAUAAAGUAUAUGUAACCAAUACUACUUGUAAAGUAUAUAUUCACAUAUAAAUUUCAAUUUCACCACUCACGUGAUUUUUAAUAAUUAAUUGAUUAAAAUUGAUAUGCUAUACAAAUAGUGAAGUAGAAAUUGUUAAAAAAAAAUUAAUAAUUUUGUGGAAGGGUUAGAAGUGGGUUAAAUUUUUUUUUUUUUCGCUUAGUUUCUAACACCUUUGACUAACUAUAUGUUGUAUUUAGUUCCAAAUAUUAAAACAACGAUCGUGGAAACUCCAAUGCAAUUUCGUUUUAGAGUAUCUUUCAUUGGUCAGAUGAACCGGAGGAACAAGUUAAAUAUAUCAUCGUAUAAAUCAAAGACAAACAUUUGGGGGAUUAACACAAGUAUCCAACCCAUCCCAACAAUUCGCAGUAGCUCCACGUUUCAUCAUCUGUCUCAAAUUCUCGAACUUCUUUAAAGAGCGUGGAAGGGUGUGAUGAGAUUUUUGGUUUUGUUUAGUCUUCUCUUUUCAGUACUGAUGUUUCCAGCAGCAGAGGCUAGAAUCAGAAGGUAUAGAUGGGAGGUGAAGUAUGAGUACAAGUCUCCUGAUUGCUUUCAGAAGAUGGUUAUCACCAUCAAUGGACAAAGCCCCGGUCCAACAAUCCUGGCAGAAGAAGGAGACACCGUCAUUGUUGAGCUCACAAAUAGUUUGUUGACAGAAAAUGUCGCAAUCCACUGGCAUGGUAUCAGACAGGUAGAGCAAAGAUUAAUAUAUAAUGUUUUCUUUUUUCUUCCCCUUUCUGGGCUUAAUUUUGCAGUUCUGAUGGUUCAUCUUCUUGAUGAUUACAGAUUGGGACGCCAUGGUUUGAUGGAACGGAAGGGGUGACCCAGUGUCCAAUCCUGCCAGGAGAUACCUUCACAUAUGAGUAUAAAGUGGAUAGGGUAAGAUUGAUCAGUGGUCUUAAUCAAGAAAGUUGGAACCAGUACUACUUUCAAUUAUCUGAUGAUAUUAUUCUUUGGUUUAUGCAGCCUGGGACUUAUCUAUACCAUGCCCAUUACGGAAUGCAAAGAGAAGCUGGGCUGUAUGGAUCGAUUCGUGUGUCGGUUGCUCGUGGGAAGACUGAGCCCUUUUCCUAUGACCACGACCGGAGCAUCAUCCUCACUGACUGGUACCAUAAUACCACUUAUGAACAAGCCCUGGGCUUGUCCUCCAAUCCUCUUGACUGGGUCGGCGAGCCUCAGGUGAAUGCCAACUACUACUGCUUCCGCCAUAGCAUUCUGGUUUGUUCUGCUAUUCAUCUUCUGAUGUCUUUUUCUGUCUGUUAAUUUUUCAGUCCCUUCUGAUUCAAGGAAAAGGAAGAUACAACUGCUCCCUAGUUUCAAGUCCUUACGUCUGUAAUGCAACAAGUCCUCAGUGUUCUCCCUAUGUACUCACUGUAGUUCCGGGGAAAACAUAUCGCCUUCGGGUCUCCAGCUUGACUUCCCUGUCAGCUCUCAGUUUCCAAAUAGAGGUUGGUAUAAUUAAAAACUUCACCGUGGUUUCUUAUUCCUUGCUUCUACUUGGUCAAGUCAUAUUCCACACAAAAAAGUCAAACACUACCUAUUUAAGAACUCAUCUUUAGCUAUAUAAUUGUGUUUUAAAUAUGUAAAGCUUUUGUUAUGAAUAAUAUUAGAGUUAAUUCUUAACUUCAUUGUAUGAGUUUGAUUGGUCCAUAAGUAAUGUUUAUAUGUUUGAUCUCAUGAUAUACAACGAGGAUGUUGUAUUUGUAUGAUAAUAAUUGUAAUAUUCUAUAUCAAAUGUGUAAAAAGUUCCUAAUAUUAUAUAUGUCUGAACUUCUACACAUGUGACGGGGAUUUGGGUCCAAAACAAAGAAUAUUUAUACAUUUCAAAAUGGUUUACUACAAAAACCGUGCAUGUUCUGAUACGGUUUUAAUUUCUAACGCUGCAGGGUCACAACAUGACUGUAGUUGAAGCAGAUGGGCACUUUGUGGAACCCUUUGUGAUAAAAAACCUCUUCAUUUACUCAGGGGAGACCUAUUCAGUUCUGGUGAAGGCUGAUCAAGACCCUUCAAGAAAUUACUGGGUCACAACCAGCGUGGUCAGUAGGAACAACACUGUCACUCCUCCGGGCUUGGCCAUUUUCAAUUACUACCCCAACCAUCCCAACAAGUCUCCUCCAACAGUCCCACCCGUUGGCCCUCUUUGGAACGACGUCGAGCCGCGCCUCAACCAAAGCCGUGCCAUUAAGGCUCACCAUGAUUAUAUUGUGCCCCCUCCCCACACCUCAGACAGAGUAAUCGUGUUUCUAAACACUCAAAAUAAGAUAAAUGGUUAUGUUAGGUGGUCUGUCAACAACAACUCCUUCAACUUGCCACACACCCCCUACCUAAUCGCUCUCAAAGAGAAUAUAACUGGAGCCUUCGACCCAACCCCACCUCCAAAUGGUUAUGAUUUUGUAAACUAUGAUAUCUACAAUGUGGCGAAUAACACCAACGCUACAUCCAGCAACUCAAUUUAUAGGCUGCAGUUCAAUACAACAGUGGAUAUUAUACUGCAAAACGCAAACACCAUGAAGAAGAAUGACAGCGAGACGCACCCAUGGCAUCUCCACGGGCAUAAUUUUUGGGUACUGGGAUAUGGAAAAGGUAAGUUCGACAAUUUCAGUGAUCCAAUAAAGUACAAUCUGAUCGACCCAAUUAUGAAGAACACAGCACCUGUUCAUCCUUAUGGAUGGACUGCCUUAAGGUUUCGAUCUGAUAACCCAGGUACCUGGGCAUUCCAUUGCCAUAUAGAGUCUCAUUUCUAUAUGGGUAUGGGAGUUGUUUUUGAAGAAGGGGUGGAGAGAGUGGGAAAGCUGCCUUCAUCUAUCAUGGGUUGCGGUAAAGCCAAGGGUCUCGGCGGCAGGCCAUAAUAUGCAGGUAAGUUGAGCAUGAAAAAGGAAAAUAAGAUUAUCAAAUCUUUACAAACCUCUCUAUUUCAAAGCCCCAAACAUCUUGUAAUAACAAUAAUAAUUACUAUUACCUGUUUUUUAUACUUAGUAUCAAUACUAUUUUUUAUUUCGAGGUGAAAUGCAUAGAAAAAAGAAAUAGUAUUUGUAGGGACCACUCCCCCCGAUGGCGCGUGACACACAUUUACUAAUGACACGUGGCACACAUUUCUAUCCGGAUUAUCCCCAUCUGGAUUUCCCCAAGAAGACACGUGGCGCGCUUCUCUUAUCCGGACUUCCUCAGGGAGAGGCACACGACACUCACAAACAUCACAUCUGGACGAUCGCCAUAUCACAUCCAAACGACCGACAUAUCCUAUCCGGAUAUGUUUUUAUCCGGAUCGUUGACUGAAGUAAGCAGGUCUUGCACGUCAUGUCAACAGCCUGCCACGACCCACGUUCCGCCACCUGCAGAGUGAAAGGACAGGAAUGAAGUGAUGACAAUCACUUCCCGCGAUCUCUGACAGCCGUGGCGCCUCCCACGAUCUCUGUCAGCCGCCCGUAGGGUGAUGAUGGCCCUGCCACCACCUAGAGGCAUCAUGACAAGCCAAAAUAUCUCCCUACCAUUAAAAAGAGAAACAAAGCUUCUAGACGCUAUAUAUAUGGACCUUCACACAAAGAGGAAGGUAAGAUAACUUGUUAUACCUAAUAAAAGACCAAUUGAUUAUUCUCUCUAACCAUGGCUGACAAAACCAUCGGAGGGUGUGUCCGGACGCCUUUUGUAGGAGCGACUGAACCAGGAAUCUAUAUUGGUUGAGAUCGCGUGUCCAUCCAUUUGGCAACUACGUGGAUCACAGGGACGCGAGGCUUCAACAGUAUUAUGCACAGGAAAAAAAAAAAAAUCAUGGUUGGAAAGGUUAGAGUAACAAAAGCCAUUGAAAUGACUACUAUCCAUUUAUUUAAGUUAAAUUAUAAGAAAAAAGAUUUUAAACCUUCAAGUCAAGUAAUUAAAUUUCUCUUUAGUUUCAUAUUGGAUGAAGAUUCAAACCAAAAACGCUCCAAUGAUCAAACCUAUCACCCAGAUUGGGUACAUAAAAAAAACUUCAAAACAUUAGAGAAAAUACAACAAUAAUAAAUUAACAUAAGUUUAUAUGGUAUGAUUUAAAACAACAACAUCCCCAAUAAAGUGGGAUAUCUCCAAACUUAAAGUUGGUCAAGACAAAAGGUUUAAUGUAUAUUUACAUUUUGCUGAAAUUUGAAUAAGAAGCAUACAACAAUUUUGUUCUAUUCUAUUCAAUGGAUAAUAACUUCAUUUAUUCAAGAUCUUCCUUCUUACCAUCUAUUCCUAAAGACUUUGAAUGCUUUUUUAGAUGCUAGUUUUUCAAUUUCAAUGAAUAAAUUGGGUGUUGGAGCUUUAGAAACUUCAUUCAACAACCUUUUUUUAAGAUUUAAAAAUCUAUAACUCUUAUUUGAGACUCAUGAUCUUAAAUUGAGAAUGAAAGGAACAAAAUCCUCUCUUUUUUUUCUUUCAUUCAAUUUUCUCAUAAAAUUACCAAAAACAAAACAAAAAUCAAUUCCACCAAACAAAGGGUUUUUAUAUUAAAAAAAAAAAACCUUAAAAUCUAUAUUUACAUAGACUUCAGAUAAAUGGAAUAAAAUAGAUUAAUAUUGGUUUGAUUUAAUCCAUUGUCAAUGAUCGAUCAUAAACUUGACAAAUCAUUCAUUUUUUUGGUACAUGAAAUAUAGGAUUUCACUAAGUUAAUUAUUAAAAAAAAUAAAAAAAUUCUUGGUUGUAAAAGAAUGAAAAAAGAAAGGAGAAAGUAAUGAAAAUAAAAUGAAGUUAAAAAAAAAAAUUGGAAUACAAUUAAUAGGAAACCUAAGAAAUAAAAGGUGUUCCACAAAUUAUGAUUAUGAGAGGGUAACUAAGUAAAGUUAAAAGUAAAUAAAAAAAUUAAUGAUUGGUUUCAUACACUUUCUUUUUUUUUAAAAAAAAAUAUUAAAUCUAAAAAUUCUUAUGAAAAAAAUAAUAACUUAUAUUAUGUUGUUAAAAAUUAUAUUUUUAAUUCGUUUUUUAAAAAACCAUUAUAUAUUUUGUAAAACUUAUUAUUAUUUUUGUUUCUAAACAUAGAAAAUAGCAUCCAAAUUAAAUUAAAUAAUUUCAUAUCAAAAAAAAAAUAUAUAUAUAUCAAAUUAUUCAAUCAUAUGAAAACAAUUUUACAAAGGAAAAAUAAGUUUUGUUCUAAAAAUAUUUAAAAAAAUCAAAAGAAUUAAAAUCUCAAUAGAAAAUUUUUCAUUAUUAAGGUAAAUUUUAUAUCAAAAUCUUAAUAUUUUUAAAACAAUGUUAUAAUUUUCUUAAUAAAAUUUAAAUUUGUUUAAAUAAAUAAUACAAUUGAGUGAUAAAACUUUUUAUUCAAUAAUUAUCUAUUAUAAAAUAAGUGUUAUUAUUAAUUCACCAUUAUUUAAUUAAAUAUAAAAUUUUAAAAGAUUUAAAUAUCUCAAAAUGAAUGAAAUCAUUAUUACAGUUAUAUAAAGUAAAAAAGUUUUAUGUAAUUUUAAAAAAAAAUCAAUUUAUUUAUUGAAUAAAUGAAAGAUAGGUUAUGAUAAAAAGAAAAAAUUAAUAAUAAAUAUAAGUAUUAAAUACGUUUUAUUUAUUUCUCACAACACAUUCAAAUAUGAUUUAAAAUAUUUCAAAUUUAUUAUGAAGAAAAAAAAAAGUGAAGGAGAGUUCUAACAAACCCUAAUUAUCCUCAUCUCAAUUCUAAAUCUGAAAUCGGAAAAAUACUUUGCGAUCAUCUCCUAACAUAACCAGACUUCUUUCCUAUAAAUAAAUCAUAAUCAGUUGUUUAAAUAUUCUUCUUGUUUCUAAUUUAUGUUCACUACAUCUUUGAAAAAAAAAAACAAAAAUGAAAUCAAAAUACCUUAAAUUUGUUUUGAAAACAACCCAUUUUUAAAACAAAUUCUCCAAAAAUAAAAAAAUAAAAAAAUAAAAAAAUAAAAAAAUGUUUUUAAUAAAAGAUUUGUCAACUUUGUUUUAUGAGUUACAAAAGUUUUUUCUGUUUUAAAAAAUAAAAAGUUGUUUUAGUUUUCAAACAAACUCAUCAACCAAAUAAGAUAAAAUAUUAAAUAAAUAAAUAAAUUUAAAUUUAUUUCCUUCGCUCUUUUAAGCAAUGUUUUAAAAAUCAGAUCAAUUAUUAAUACGAAAAAGUUAUGAUUUACUAUUAAAUGGUUGGACUACUGGUUGAACUGUAGUGGAACCGAUAACAUCAUAAAUAUAUAAUUUAUAUAUUAUUAAAUUAAAAAUAAUUAUACAAUUUUAAAAUAUACAUAUAAAUAAAUUAAAAAUCAAUAAUAUUUUUUUUAUCUUUUAUAUUAUCAAAUUAAAUAAUGCAUAAGUAUAAAUAUAUUAAUAUACUAAAUUUUAUUAAAUGAGAUAUGUAUAAUAUUUAAAGAGAAUAUAUUAAAAAUCAAAGAAAAUCCAAUUAUUUAAUUUUAGAUAAUUUUAUCAUUUAAAAAAAAUUAUAUUAUUGUUAUUCAAUAUUUUAAUUUUUUUUGUUUAGAAAAGAAAUAUAUUAUUUUUUGUUUGCUUGCAUAGCAUCGAGUGGUGCCCCCCAUGCCACUUCCUAAGCGCUUUUCACUCACUGAUUUUUCCCUUCAACUUUAAUAUCAUAUUGUCCAUAAGAAAAAAAAUAUGGCUGGCAUUUUGAAAUGGACCUGAUUGAAUAAAAAAAGAAAGGGUGGCAAUAUAGGGAGGGCCUUGGAAUUGGGCCCAUUUUGAAUUAGAAAAAAAAACAAAAAAAACGGUCAUUGGACCCAGACUGUUCGGUUCUGCAUUGUGCGGAAGAAAAAAUUAUGGGCUGGCAUUUUAAAAUGGGCCUGGUUGAAUAAAAGAAGAAAGGGUGGCAAUAUAAGCUGGCCAUUGGAAUUGGGCCAUUUUGAAUAUAAAAAAAAUGGGUCAGUUUGGUUUACUCGGUUUACCGGUUCGACCAGUUCUUGACUGGUUUCCAAACGAGAAAAUCCAGAUCGGAUGACAGUUGGACCAAAAUUAAAAUUUAAAACUAUUUUAUAUAUAUAUAUAUAUUAAAGAAAAAAAUUGAGAGAAAAAAUAGAAGAUAAAAAAUAUAUAAGAAAAUAGAAAAUAGAAAAUAAGUUUAAAAUUAAUAAAUUAUUUUUAUGUUUAUUUAUUUUUAUAUUUUUCAUAUAAAGAUUAAAUAAAUUUAAAAUACAUAAAUUUUUUAUUAAUUUUAAUUAUAUUUAAUUUUAAACACAAUAAAAUUAUUUUUAAAUAAUUUUUAUUUUCUUAAUAUUUUUCAAGAAUAAAAAAUAACUUAUAGGAAACCGAUGAAACGUUAUUGAGUAUUUAUUUCUUUUAGAAAUUCAAACAUGAAGUUGGUUUUGAAUGGUCAUCCGUGAAUUGGUCAAAGUUUGUAGAAGAAAUGACGCCCACGGACCACGUGCCUUGGUUUCUUAGUCAAGCUCUAAUAAUAACAAAAAGUCAAAAAUCAAUCAGUAACAUUCUUGGUUACUUCCAAGUUUCAAUUAUAGUGGGAUUACUUUGAAAGUUCAAAGUCUCUUACAAAUUACGACUCCGUCCCGUGAAUACAUCAUGUUUUGAAAUGUUUCAAAAUUUUAUUUUUUAAACAAUUUUUGAAAAACAAAACAAUUCUUAAUUAUUUUUUAAAAUUUAAAUAUAAAAGAUAGUUUUUUUUUUUUAUUUAUACUUCAAAAAUAUACUAUCUAAUUAUAUAUAAUGUCAAAUAUUUUAAAGGAUUUUUCAUAGUGUUAAUUAUCAUUUAAAACAUUGUAAAACAUAAUUAAAAAAAAACUUAGGUUAUGGUUGGUUUCGGAAAAUAUAAUAAAAAAGAAAUAGAAAAGAAAUGGGUAAGUAUGUCUUUUUAAAAGAAUACUUUGAAAGGUGGGUUUAAAAGAUUAAUUUGCCUUAAAAGAAAAAUAAUUCCAAUUUUCAUUGGAUUAGAGCAAUUCAAGGACAUAUAUCAUUACAAUCUAUAUGUUUGAUAAGACUUGGAAGAUUGUUUUAUAAAUGAUUAAUUUUCAUAAUAUUUAAAAUUUAUUUGAUGAUGAUUUAAAAAAAAUGUUUUUAACGUUUUUUAAUACUUGAAAUUUUUUAUUUUUUAAGUAUUAAAAAGACUAUAAAUAUUUUUUUAAAAUUUCUAUCAAACAUAUUUUUAAUUUCAUUGAACUCAAAGUUAACUUCAUGUGUUAAUGGAUCAAAUUUAAUUGAAGUAUUGAAUUUUAAAAUUAAAAAGAAAAGACAAUUUUAAUUCUUACACCAAAAUAAUUUUAAAAUCAUUUCUAAUUAAUGAAAAAAGAAAAUUCAUUUAUAUUUAGCUCACUUGCUUAAUCCUGUCAAAAUGAUUUUUUUAUAAGCUCCCAUAUGUAUUUAUAAAUUUUAUAUAUUUAAAAAUAUAAAAUCAUAAAAUACGUUUGUAAAUAUAAAUAUUAUAUAGUUAAAAAAAUUAAAUAACCAAUAAAGUAAAAUUUUAUAUAAUUUGUUAAAAAAUUAAAAUUUAAUUUAUUUUUUAUUACUUUUAUUUUCAAAAUAAAAUUUUUAUAUAAAAUAUAAUAACUCUUACCAAAAAAACAAAAAUUCACCUUGUAUUCUUAAAACCAAUUUUUUUCUACUUCCUUAAGCUUUAAAUUUUUUGUUUAUAUUAAUUUCCAUCUUUUAUACAAGAUUUUCUAUUUUUAAAAAUAAAGGAGAUGUAUUUAAAUAUGUAUUAAAAAAAAGUAAUUAAAAAUUAUUUUAAAAUAAAAUAUUUAUAAAUUAAAAAAAUUAAAACAAGUUAUUAACAAAUUUAAUGGCCUAUAGACUCAUUUCGACAUAUUAUUUGUGCCAAUUAUAUUCAAUUUAACUUGAGUUGACCAGGUCAACUAUCCAUGUACUUUGAAGGAGUCAAUGGUCAAUAUAAAAGACAAAAAACAAAAUUAGUUGGUCCAUAUAAGUGUACUCAAUUAUUUAAAUUUAUUCUCAUUCUCACAAAAAAAAAAAGACACUAGUGGACAAAAUUGGGAUAGGUGAGAGAAUUUCUCAUCCCCAACCAUCUUAUUUAAUUUUUAUUUUUAAAAAUUUAAAUUAUAUUAGAACUCAAUAUAAUUUAUUCCCAUCUUAUUUAAUUUUUUAUUUUUAAACAUUUAAAUUAUAUUAGAAAUCAAUAUAAUUUAUAAAUUUAUGCAUUAAAAAUGAACAAAACUAAAAAUAAUUAAAUUAAAUUAUUUUAAAUUAUAUUUAUAAUCGAUGGGGUGAUAUUCAAUCUCAAUUUUUUUUAAAAAUAAAAUAAAAUAAAUUUGUUUCUAACUCUCCCUAAAUUCUUCGUAUCUUCAAGGAACAUACAAACAUUCAAAAAUAGCUUCUCUAAACGUUCUCAUUAGACAAACAUAUUUCAAAUAAAAUAUAAUUGAAUGCAUAUUUGUUAAUUUAAAAAAACAAAUAAAUAAAAAAAUCUAUGAAAUCAAUAUUGGAAAGUCACAAUAUCCAAAAAUCAAUAUAAUUAAUACUAAAAAGUCAUAAAUCAAAAUUGAUUGGAAACCGGAAAGACUUUCCUUAUUUUCCAUUUUUAAUAUAAUUUUAAUUUUUUUAAUAUUUCUAUUAAAUAAGUAAACUCUAAAUCAAGUAAGGUUAGUGUAUUGGAUUCAUAAAAAAUAAUUUUUAAAAAUAAUUAUAAACUUAAAUAUUAACCCAAUAGAUUAAAAAAAUUAGGAGCAAAAAAAUUAUAUUUUUUUUUUUCCGAAUUUUCUCAUUAAAGUAGCUCCAUUUUCUAAACUAAUUAAAAAUUUCUAUACUUUAAUAUUUUCUAAAAUAAAAUCAUCUUUAAAAAAGAAUUUAAAAACUAUUUUUUAAAAUUAUAAUAUCAAUCAUAUUUUAUAUACCACCAUUCUUUAAAAUCGCUUUUAUCACUCCAUUGGGAAAAUGUAAGAAAAAAAAAUAUAGAUGAAAAGAAAAGGUAAAGAAAAAUAAGAAAUAUAUUUAAAGUUAAUAAAUUAUUUUUUAUAUAUUAAAAUUUUUAUAUAAAAAUUAAAUAAUUUUUAAAAAAAUAUGUAAUUUUCUUAUACAUUUUACUCUCCUCCAUAUUUUUCAUAAUAAAAUUAAAUAUAAAAAAAUUAUUUUCCUUUUUUUUUUUUAAGUACUUUCCGGGAAAUAAUACGACCCUAGGAGUUAUUUGUUAUAAGACUUAUUUUAUUUUUAUUGUUUCCUAAUACUUUUCGUAAAGUAACAUGAACUUGAUUUGUUCUCAAGUUUUGACAACUAAUUUUCUUUGAAAAACGUGUCAGGGGAAAUUCUUGGCAAUUCGGCGCUUUUUACUAUUCCAUAAAGAAAAACAAAAAAAUCAAUUUGACGUUUAUGAUUUUAAUGACCAUCCUUUGUGUUUAGUUCAUGGAAAGAAAAUAAAAAAUGAUUUAUUAAAAGUGAAAGGAAUACGACUGGUGAAUGAUAUCAUCAAUCAUAAGCAAUAGUACUUAUGUAUUAUAAAAUUUAUAUUCAAACAUAAAUUUUAUAAAAAAAUCUAUUAAUUAUAGGCGAAGAAAUAAAGAAAGAAGUCGUCAUUGAUAAAGAGGUGAUAACCAUCUUCCGGAAUCAAUCAGGAGACUUGUAGAAAUUCACAGUAACUCCACGUUUCAUAAUCUGUCUCAAAUUCUCAAGUUCUCUAAAGAACGUUGAAGAUGAUAAAGAGGUGAUAACCAUCUUCUGGAAGCAAUCAGGAGACUUGUAGAAAUUCGCAGUAACUCCACGUUUCAUAAUCUGUCUCAAAUUCUCAAGUUCUUUAAAGAACGUUGAAGAUGGGUGAGAUGAGAUUUUUGGCUCUGUUUAUUCUUCUCUUUUGAGUACUGAUUUUUCAAGCAGCAGAGGCUAGAAUCAGAAGGUAUAAUUGGGAGGUGAAGUUGAGUACAAGUCUCCUGAUUGCUUCCAGAAGAUGGUUAUUGCCAUCAAUGGACAAAGCCCCGGUCCAACAAUCCUGGCCGAAGAAGGAGACACCGUCAUUGUUGAGCUCACAAAUGGUUUGUUGACAGGAAAUGUCGCAAUCCACUGGCAUGGUAUGAGACAUGUAGAGCAAAGAUUAAUAUAUAAUGUUUUCUUUUUUCUUCCCCUUUCUGGGCUUAAUUUUGCAGCUCUGAUGGUUCAUCUUCUUGAUAAUUACAGAUUGGGACGCCAUGGUUUGAUGAAACGGAAGGGGUGACCCAGUGUCCAAUCCUGCCAGGAGAUACCUUCACAUAUGAGUAUAAAAUGGAUAGGGUAAGAUUGAUCCGUGGUCUUAAUCAAGAAAGUUGGAACCAGUACUACUUUCAAUUAUCUGAUGAUAUUAUUCUUUGGUGUAUGCAGCCUGGGACUUAUCUAUACCAUGCUCAUUACGGAAUGCAAAGAGAAGCUGGGCUGUAUGGAUAGAUUCGUGUGUCGGUUACUUGUGGGAAGACUGAGCCCUUUUCCUAUGACCACGACCGGAGCAUCAUCCUCACUGACUGGUACCAUAAUACCACUUAUGAACAAGCCCUGGGCUUGUCCCCCAUUCCUUUUGACUGGGUCGGGGAGCCUCAGGUGAAUGCCAACCACUACUGCUUCCGCCAUAGCAUUCUGGUUUGUUCUGCUCUUCAUCUUCUGAUGUCUUUUUCUGUCUGUUAAUUUUUCAGUCCCUUCUCAUUCAAGGAAAAGGAAGAUACAACUGCUCCCUAGUUUCAAGUCCUUACGUCUGUAAUGCAACAAGUCCUCAGUGUUCUCCCUAUGUACUCACUGUAGUCCGGGGAAAACAUAUCGCCUUCGGGUCUCCAGCUUGACUUCCCUGUGAGCUCUCAGUUUCCAAAUAGAGGUUGGUAUAAUUAAAAACUUCACCGUGGUUUCUUAUUCCUUGCUUCUACUUGGUCAAGUCAUAUUCCAUACGAACUUUUCUUAGCCAUAUGGAAGAGUUUUAAACAUAUGAGGGGAUUUUGAGUCCAAAUUGAAGAAUAUCUACCCAUUUCAAAAUGGUUUAUUACAAAAACUAUGCAUGUUCUGAUACGGUUUUAAUUUAUAACGCUGCAGGUUCACGACAUGACUGUAGUUGAAGCAGAUGGGCACUUUGUGGAACCCUUUGUGAUAAAAAAACCUCUUCAGUUACUCAGGGGAGACCUAUUCAGUUCUGGUGAAGGCUGAUCAAGACCCUUCAAGAAAUUACUGGGUCACAAUCAGUGUGGUCAGUAGGAACAACACUGUCACUCCUCCGGGCUUGGCCAUCUUCAAUUACUACCCCAACCAUCCCAAGAAGUCUCCUCCAACGAUCCCACCCGCUGGCUCUCUUUGGAAUGACGUCGAGCCGCGCCUCAACCAAAGCCGUGCCAUUAAGGCUCACCAUGAUUAUAUUGUGCCCCCUCCCCACACCUCAGGCAGAGUAAUCGUGUUUCUAAACACUCAAAAUAAGAUAAAUGGUUAUGUUAGGUGGUCUGUCAACAACGGCUCCUUUAACUUCCCGCACACCCCCUACCUAAUCGCUCUCAAAGAGAAUAUAACUGGAGCCUUCGACCCAACCCCACAUCCAAAUGGUUAUGAUUUUGUAAACUAUGAUAUCUACAAUGUGGCGAAUAACACCAACGCUACAUCCAGCAACUCAAUUUAUAGGCUGCAGUUCAAUACAACAGUGGAUAUUAUACUGCAAAACGCAAACACCGUGAAUACGAAUAAUAGCGAGACGCACCCAUGGCAUCUCCACGGGCAUAAUUUUUGGGUACUGGGCUAUGGAGAAGGUAAGUGAUCCAAUAAAGUACAAUCUGAUCGACCCAAUUAUGAAGAACACAGCACCUGUUCAUCCUUAUGGAUGGACUGCCUUAAGGUUUCGAUCUGAUAACCCAGGUACCUGGGCAUUCCAUUGCCAUAUAGAGUCUCAUUUCUAUUUGGGUAUGGGAGUUGUUUUGAAGAAGGGGUGGAGAGGGUGGGAAAGCUGCCUUCAUCUAUAAUGGGUUGCGGUAAAGCCAAGGGUCUCCGCCGGUAGUAUCACUACAUGGAGGUAGGUUUAUGGCCACGGCCAGCAGCCCCGGCUAAAAGUAAGACACAAUGCUGAGGCCAGGCGAAUCUAUGGGCAUUGAACAAGCGAAUCUAUCCAUUAAUUUAUAAAUUGAUUUGUUGGUUUCUCAAGAUGCAUAUGGUCCAAGUUGGUCAAAGAGGUGGGUACGUGGGCAUUUAAACACAGUAUCACAUUUAAAACACUAGCAUUUGGGAAUUUCAUAGAAGCUUUUGAUAUCGUAAGAACAAGAGAGAAAGCCAAACUCAAAUCAAUAUGAACAACCAAGUUAAAAAUGUAGCCAGUCAUUUGGUGGUAAAGUCUGAUUACUGAACCACUCCAGCUCUGCAUAGGCUCAGGCUUAUUCAUAGAUGAAACAUAACGGAUAACGUUUUUCAGCAAUGGUAGAAUAUGUUUGGCAAUGAAGUUCUCCUGGAAAAGUCCACCUGAAAAGCCAAAGUUGAAAAUUACCUUUUAAAGCUGCACAUAACAUUUCCAGAAAAAACACCAAUCCCACACCCAAAGAACUGAAAAUACCUACCCUAACCAGCACAUGAGAUAUGGACCAAUUGUACAUUCUUCCACUUUGCAGAAGUUCAUAACCUGGGUCCAUUUCCUCACGGCCCAUACAUUUGGAUGUGAGAGAGGGGCAAAGGAAAACCACAAGAAGAAACUCCUCCGGAAACAGAGCAUAACAGAAAACAAAUAACAAGAUCAACAAAUGAGGCUUCACUUCAUGGGUUAUCAGUGAGCCUGCUAACUAGAAGGGCAAGACCAAAUCAAAUGUAAGCAUGUACGAUAUUCCCAAGCAUCUCACACUAGAGGCAAAACAGAGCAAGAUUCAUCAUCUAUUGAAACUAAAGGGAAUAACAGAGAAAGCAGUAACAACAAGCUCACAUCCAUCCCAAAGAUCAAUAGAAAGAUCAAGAAUAGAGCCUAUUAAACCAGAUCUAAACAAAGUGAGAACCAACAGGGAGGAAAUCAAAAGAUGGAGAAAACAGAAAGUAAUAAAAUAUUUCAUUUUGAUCUUUUCCAAUUCGUUAAAUUACCUCCAUUGUCUAAACUAAAUAAAUAAAUUCUAUACUUCAAUAUUUUCUUUUAAGUCAAACAUAUUUUAUAUUCCCCCAUUCUUUAAAACCAUUUUUGGGAAUUACUAUGUUAUUUCGUUUUAAAAUACCCUCCAUUGUUCUGAAAUUGACUGGGCAAAGCGUAUGGUUGCAUAAAUAAGAGACAAACAUUUGGGGGAUUAGUACAAGCAUACAACCCAUUCCCACAAUUCGCAGUAGCUCCACGUUUCAUAAUCUGUCUCAAAUUCUCAAGUUCUCUAGAGAACGUUGAAGAUGGGUGUGAUGAGAUUUUAUUAGUUAUUAGAAUCCAGAUAUAGGAACUUGUAUUGAUUGGAUACGGAAAGAGAAGACUACUUAUUUUUUUUGUGCUUUGCUAGGUAAGGUAUACCAAGAAAAAAAACCUAUUUAACAAUGUUGAGAAUGUUUACAGUUUAUAAUGAAACUUAGCAAAGAUUUUCGUUUUUCAAACCCUGGUUUGUACCCAGGUCGUUCUAUAUCCAUGUGACUUACUAUUAGAUUAGAUUUCUAUUAGAUUUGAUUUGGGUUGGAGUUUUUUAUUUUUAACUGGGCUCAUGUCAUGAUUUUGACUCCAAAAAUUCACCAGGAUUAGGUAGGUAUACCAAAGCCAAAGAAAAGAAAUAUCACUAACUCUUUGAUUGUGGACAGGAAAAUUCAUAUGUAAUUUACUUACAAAGAUUAAUGAAGAAAAAACAAAAUGAAGAAAAAUUUGUUUGUUUAUCCGAGACUGGAAAAAUACCGAGUGGAUCCAUUGAAAUGCGUUUUUUGUUUUUCAUUUUUUUAUUUUAUAGGGCUUAUUUAUUAUAUUAGGGCUAUACGGACUCGAACCGUAGACCUUCUCGGUAAAACAGAUCAAACUGAUUAUUAUCAAAAUGAUUUGAACUGUUUCAAAGACCCAACAUGCAUUUUUUUUGCAUUGGGCUCUUUCAUUAACUGAUAUAAAUAUCAGUUAGUCCACCAUAUUUUUUCUUAACAGAAAGAUAAAGAGAUGGCUCCAUGUGCUCUGAUUCAUUAUUUUGAUUCUGAUCCAGGAGCACUACCAAAGUUUUUCAAAGAGGGUUAUCUUGACGUAGGUCUGCCUUUGGCCUAGAUCAACUUAAGUUAAAUGGAGUCUCUAUCGUUCUGAUUAAAGAAUCAAAUAUGAAACUUCAUACACCUUAAAGUUCAUAGGACGAAAAGAGAUUUUUUUUGAGGUCCUUAUACUCAUUAGGCCUAGCAUUGAAUAGACUGGGUAUUCACCUUAUCAAUAUCUCAAAAUGAUGGGUUCUAUUUGGCGCUUAAAUUAAAUGGGCACCCAAAUCGGACCGAAUCGUUUGUCAGGCUAUUGUUCUCUUGUUCCCUCAAAGUCAUGGAGUAAGACAUCGAUUUCUCAAUAAGAUCAAUGCAUGAUGGACUCUCUUGAAAAACAUUGGCGCGCGUGUAAACGAGGUGCUCUACCUAACUGAGCUAUAACCCUUGUACUUGUGAUACAUAUUUUAUCAUGUAGAUAAUUUAUUGUCAAGAUGAAUAUUCCAUGAUCCAACAUGAUAACUCUUUGAUCUGUUUGAUUGGUAUUGCUUAUAAAUAAUAUUCUAUUUAUAAUCCAUCGAUGUGAUGGGUUCCAUUUGUUUCUCCUUAGGAUGAUAAAUGACCUACUUAACUCAGUGGUUAGAGUAUUGCUUUCAUACGGCGGGAGUCAUUGGUUCAAAUCCAAUAGUAGGUAGAACUUAUUAGAUACCAGAGUCAAUGGUAUCUAAUAAGUUUUCUACCCACCUUCUUUUAUUGAUUUUGUAUCUUUUCCAUCCUAUUCUAUUUGCUUUUUGGCUUUAAAAUGCAAUUUUAUUUUUCGUUGCAUCAGAAUCCCAUUCCAUUUGAUUGUAUUUGAUUGUAUUCAAUCGGCAGAAUCAAAAUAGGGUGUAUAAACAGAACUUCUUUUGAUUUUUCGGGCACAUGACUAGUUACGAAGUCACAUUGAUAGCCUCUACUCGUGUCCUAGCUCGUCUAAGAGCUAGAUUUGCCUCAAUUAUUUGUCUCUUGCCUUCAGCUUUCCUCAAGUUAGCUUCCGCUAUUUCAAGAGUUAGCUUCCGCUAAACUUAUGAACAUCAUUCAUAAGUUUCUUUAUUUAUUUUCAGUUUCUUGUAAUCAUCGUAAUUUUUUUUAAUAUAAUAUGUUAUCAUAUCCAUCAACAUAUGUUUAACAAAUGUCAAAAUUUUCUCUAUUUAUUAAGUAAAGACUGGUGUAUUUUUUCAAGUUCAAUGUAAUGUCUAAUAUUUUUGAGUAACUAAUUUAAUUAAUUGGUGAAUCUAUUAUCCAUCUCAAUUAGCAUAUUCAUUUUUGGAUUUUUUUUUAUAGGAGUUAUUUAGGAUUUUUUUUUUAAUGUUUUUCAAUUUUCAAACAAACAAUUUUCACGUAAAGCAUUUUGUUUUUUUGUAUUUAGUUGCCAAUAUUGAAUGUAAAAAAUGUGCUUUGAAGUCAACGAUUUUGGGAAUUACUAUGUUGUUUCGUUUUAGAAGAUCCUGCAGUGUCCUCAAAUUGACUGGGCAAAGCGUAUGAUUGCAUAAAUAAGAGACAAACAUUUGGGGGAUUAAUACAAGCAUACAAUCCAUUCCCACAAUUCGCAGUAGCUCCACGUUUCAUAAUCUGUCUCAAAUUCUCAAGUUCUCUAAAGAACGUUGAAGAUGGGUGUGAUGAGAUUUUUGGCUCUGUUUAUUCUUCUCUUUUCAGUACUGAUUUUUCAAGUAGCAGAGGCUAGAAUCAGAAGGUAUAAAUGGGAGGUGAAGUAUGAGUACAAGUCUCCUGAUUGCUUCCAGAAGAUGGUUAUUACCAUCAAUGGACAAAGCCCCGGCCCAACAAUCCUGGCCGAAGAAGGAGACACCGUUAUUGUUGAACUCACAAAUGGUUUGUUGACAGAAAAUGUCGCAAUCCACUGGCACGGUAUCAGACAGGUAGAAAAAAAUAUUAAUAUAUAAUGUCUUCUUUUGUCUUCCCUUUCUGUGCUUAAUUUUGCAGUUCUGAUUGUUUAUCUUCUUGAUUACAGAUUGGGACGCCAUGGUUUGAUGGAACAGAAGGGGUUACCCAGUGUCCAAUCCUGCCUGGAGAGACCUUCACAUAUGAGUAUAAAGUAGAUAGGGUAAGAUUAAUCAGUGGCCUUAACUAAGCCUCUUCCCAACAAGCUUCAUCUCCAGAAAGUUGGAACCAGCACUGUCAAUUAUCUGAUUAUAUUAUUCUCUGGUGUAUACAGCCUGGGACUUAUCUAUACCAUGCCCAUUACGGAAUGCAAAGAGAAGCUGGGCUGUAUGGAUCGAUUCGUGUGUCGGUUGCUCGAGGGAAGACUGAACCCUUUUCCUAUGACUACGACCGGAGCAUCAUCCUCUCUGACUGGUACCAUAAUACCACUUAUGAACAAGUCCUGGGCUUGUCCUCCAUACCUUUUGACUGGAUCGGGGAGCCUCAGGUGAAUACCAACUCCUAAUACUGCUUCCGCCAUGGCAUUCUGGUUUGUUAUGCUCUUCAUCUUCUGAUGUCUUUUCCUCUCUGUCUGCUAAUUUUUCAGUCACUUCUGAUUCAAGGAAAAGGAAGAUACAACUGCUCUCUAGUUUCAAGUCCUUAUGUCUGUAAUGCAACAAGUCCUCAGUGUUCUCCCUAUGUACUCACUGUAGUUCCGGGGAAAACAUAUCGCCUUCGGGUCUCCAGCUUGACUUCCCUGUCAGCUCUCAGUUUCCAAAUAGAGGUUGGUAUAAUUAAUAAAUUCACCGCGGUUUCUUAUUCCUUGCUUCUACUUGUUCAAGUGAUAUUCCUCACAAAAAUAUUGUAACAAUACAUUUUUAAGAGCCCAUCUUAAAUAUAUAAAUACUUUUUAAAGAUUUGGGUUCAAAACAAAACAAUAUCCACAUGCUUGGAGACUAAUUCUCAACUUUGGUGGAGGGGUUUGUUUGAUCUCAUAUGGAGUGUCUAUUUGUUUGAUCCUGUCAUCCAUGAGACAUAAUGAGAAAGGUUUUGAUCCAAAAUGAAGAAUAUCUGUACAGUUAAAAGUGGAUUAUUACAAAAACUAUCCAUGUUCUGAUACGGUUUUAAUUUCUAACGCUACAGGGUCACAACAUGACUGUUGUUGAAGCAGACGGGCACUUUGUGGAACCCUUUGUGAUAAAAAACCUCUUCAUUUACUCAGGGGAGACCUAUUCAGUUCUGGUGAAGGCUGAUCAAGACCCUUCAAGAAAUUACUGGGUCACAACCAGUGUGGUCAGUAGGAACAACACUGUCACUCCUCCGGGCUUGGCCAUCUUCAAUUACUACCCCAACCAUCCCAAGAAGUCUCCCCCAACAGUCCCACCCGCUGGCCCUCUUUGGGACGACGUAGAGCCGCGCAUCAACCAAAGUCGUGCCAUUAAGGCUCACCAUGACUAUGUUUUCCCCCCUCCUCUCACCUCAGACAGAGUAAUUCUGAUGCUUAACACACAGAAUGAGAUCAAUGGUUACAGGAAGUGGUCUGUGAACAAUGUGUCCUUCAACCUCCCACACACACCCUACCUAAUUGCUCUCAAGGAAAAUAUCAGUGGUGUCUUUGAUCCAACCCCUGCUCCAGAUUACUUUGACUUGGAAAAUUAUGAUAUUUAUACCAAGCCAAACAAUUCCAACGCCACGUCUAGCAACUCAAUUUAUAGGCUCAAGUUCAACACAAUAGUGGACAUCAUACUGCAAAAUGCAAACACCAUGGUCGUGAAAAACAGUGAGACACAUCCAUGGCAUCUCCAUGGGCAUGACUUUUGGGUACUGGGCUAUGGGGAAGGCACGUUUAACAUGUCCAGUGAUCCAAGAACCUACAAUCUGAUUAACCCAAUUAUGAAGAACACAGCACCUGUUCAUCCUUAUGGAUGGACUGCCUUAAGGUUUCGAUCUAAUAACCCAGGUGCCUGGGCAUUCCAUUGCCAUAUCGAAUCUCAUUUCUAUAUGGGUAUGGGAGUUGUUUUUGAAGAAGGGGUGGAGAGGGUUGGAAAGCUGCCUUCAUCUAUCAUGGGUUGCGGUAAAUCCAAGGGUCUCCGCGGUAGGCCAUAAUUUUGUUGAGAUAUUAGGAAUGUUUUCCUUAUAUCAUUAUUUCCUUAUAUCAUUUAGUGUUUAGAUAUUAGGAAAGUUAAGAUAUUAUGAAUAUUGAGAUAUUAGGAUAUUAGUUGUUAUUUCCUUAUAUUAUUCUUUCCUUGUAUCAUUCUUUCUCAUUCUUAGAAUGGUGAUUACCCUCUAUAUAUACUCUGUACGAAUGAAAGAAAGUAUGAAUGAAAAACUACCAUUCAUCAAUUUGAACAUGGUAUCAGAGCCAGGGAACUGAAAUCCUGGAUAUUUUGUCGUAAGGCCAACAAUUGCCCCUCCUUUGCGAGAGAAAAAAAAAAAAAAGUGAAAAAAGUACUAUUGCUUUUCAAUCUGAAGGUACUUUCAAUCCAUGAAUUAUUUUGACUGAAUCAAACUAUGACGUUUGGUCAUAACUCGUGGAGAUGCAUAUUGUCGAACGGGAAAAACUUUCCUACAUCCGAGGUAAGACAAAUCCACCAAAAGAGUAAGAAGAUGGAUAUGAAAAAUGGUAUGUUGAGAAUCAAAAGGUGAAGAGAUGGUUGUUAAUGUCCAUGAGUCCAGAAAUUAUGAAGCGUUACUUACGCUUACCCACCGCUCAAGAAAUUUGGAGUACAUUAUCAAAGGCCUUCUAUGAUGGAAGUGAUGAAUUACAAGUUUUCACUUUGAAUCAAAAAGCCUUCACUGCCAAACAAAACGGCAAGUCUCUUUCUGAAUAUUAUGGAGAGUUAACUGAACUUUUUUGCGAAUUGGAUCAUCGGGAUAAGGUAGUCAUGAAAGACCCUGAAGAUAUUGCAGCAUACCGAAAAUCCAUUGAACGACAACGGGUGCACAUCUUUCUUGCUGGAUUGGAUGGUGACUUUGAGCAAGUUCGAGGAGAGAUUCAACGCAAAGAUCCUCUUCCCGAUUUGGAAGAAUGCUAUGCACUGAUUCGACGAGAGGCAGUACGUCAUGCUAGUAUGAAAACAAAAUCUGACAACCCUGACACCUCAGCUAUGGUAGUUCGACAAUAAUUAACCCGAAAUUGGCAGGACCAAUCCAAGACCAACCAUCCUAAGACAGACCCUAAUAUUGAUAAGUCAACCUUCAAAUGCACUCACUGCAAUAAGACUGGUCAUACCAAGAGUCGUUGCUUUGAAAUUGUGGGAUAUCUAGACUGGUGGGAUCACAAUCAUGAUCAACGGAAGAAGGAUUCCAAGAAAACCUCGACUGCAGCUAUUGCCGAAAUAAAAACAGAGGCUAAUGUUGAUGAGAAAGUCUCUGCAUUGAUAGCCGCUACAGAUUAUGGUGGUAAGUUUUUAAAUACUUCUACACCUGUUAUUAAUAAUGCAUGGAUAAUUGAUUCUGGUGCUACAGAUCAUAUGACUUUUGAUUCUAGACAGGUUUCACUCGUUAGACCUUCCUCACAAAAAUUUGUUUCCACAGCCAAUGGUAACACAACCCUAGUCAUUGGGGAAGGAUCCUUAACUCUUAUUGAUACUUUGAAUUUGGAUUCUAUUUUAGUUGCUCCAUCCUUAAAUUACAAUCUUUUGUCAGUUUCUCAAAUCACUGCAGCCUUAUCUUGUAUUGUCAUUUUUUGGCCUGAAUUUUGUGUUUUUAAGGACAUCCAAACAAGACAGACGAUUGGUUUUGGUAUUAAGCGGGGAAAACUCUAUUAUUUGGACUUGCAGUCAAAGGAUUCAAAUAAGUUGCGACAAGCCUUGAUGGCAGAUGGAUCUGAGGGGGAGAAGAAAAAGUCUGAAAUUUGGUUGUGGCAUCGACGUCUGGGACAUGCUUCCUUUGGUUAUUUAAAAAAAUUAUUUCCUAAUUUGUUUGCAAAGAGUGAUAUUUCUGGUUUCCGUUGUGAUAUUUGUGAAUUGGCUAAAAGCCAUCGUGCUUCCUUUCCAUUAAUUUUGAAUAAAAGUCCGUCUCCUUUUAUGGUUAUACAUUCUGAUGUUUGGGGCCCAUCCAAAGUCCCAACUUUGAGUGGUUCGCGUUGGUUUGUUACUUUUAUUGAUGAUUGUACCAGAAUGACAUGGUUAUGCUUGAUGAAGACCAAAGAUGAAGUGAACUUGUUGUUUCAAAAAUUUCAUAAAAUGAUUGAAACUUAGUACAAUGCAAAGGUUCGGGUUCUGCGUAGUGAUAAUGGUGGAGAAUAUCAAAGUUCUGAUUUUCAAAAGUAUUUGGAAGGACAUGGCAUCAUUCAUCAAACUACUUGUUCCAAUACACCCCAGCAAAAUGGAGUCGAUGAACGAAAAAAUCGGCACUUGUUAGAGGUUGUUCGUGCUUCCUUGAUAGCAGCAAAAACACCGAUAUCUUAUUGGGGAGAAGCAAUCACAUCUGCCGUAUACUUGAUCAAUCGGGUACCUUCUAGCUCAAUUAACUUUCAAACACCUCUCCAAGCUCUUAUUAAUGUCGUAGUUGCCCCAACCGUCCCAAAUCUACCUCCUCGUGUUUUUGGUUGUGUGGCAUUUGUGCAUCUACACAAGCACCAACGCACUAAGUUAACUUCCCAUGCAUUGCAAUGUGUGUUUGUUGGAUAUGCAUUGCACAAAAAGGGAUAUCGAUGUUACCAUCUUCCAACUUGACAAAUGUAUAUUACAAUGGAUGUGGUGUUUCAUGAAGAUUCGAUGUAUUUUUCAUCUGAGUCUGAACUUCAGGGGGAGUACCAUAAGGAAAUUCAAACUCUUGAUUAUGAUUAUCAUAUCUCUAAGGAAGAUGAAUCUGAACAAUCUGAACUAGUGAACCAGGAAGUGGGUGAGUUGGAUAUGAGUGGUCAACAAUUUGGAUCCGAAGAUGUCUUCACUGAAAUACCAAACCAAUCAUCGUCUGUUGAGGGUGUUCUUAAUUUGGAACCCGAUCCAUUCAUGAAACGGUUACCACAUCAUCAUAAUAGAGGUAUUCCUAAACCCACAUAUGAACCUGAUUUGUCUACCAAAGUCAAAUAUCCCAUGAGCAACUAUGUGUCUAACCAUCGUUUGUCUGAAUCAAAUAAGUCAUUUGUAAAUCAAUUAUCUACUGUAGUUAUUCCUAAUAGUGUGCAGGAAGCCUUAGUUGAUCCAAGGUGGAAAGCAAGAUUGGUUAGCCGAUAUCCUCACCAAAGCUGUCUCAAGUCAAGUAUUCUCAAAAAUUUUUAGACAAGUUGGGCAUGUGUGACAUCUAUGCACCAACUUGAGGGGGAGUGUUGAGAUAUUAGGAAUGUUUUCCUUAUAUCAUUAUUUCCUUAUAUCAUUUAGUGUUUAGAUAUUAGGAAAGUUAAGAUAUUAUGAAUAUUGAGAUAUUAGGAAAGUUGAGAUAUUAGGAUAUUAGUUGUUAUUUCCUUAUAUUAUUCUUUCCUUGUAUCAUCCUUUCCCAUUCUUAGAAUGAUGAUUACCCUCUAUAUAUACUCUGUACAUGAACGAAAGAAAGUAUGAAUGAAAAACUACCAUUCAUCAAUUUGAACAAAUUUUUCUUCCCAAUUAUCAAGUAAUUGAGGUAAAGUUUAAUUGUAUCACAUUUUCUAUAUUAUGUUUUAGAUGAUACAAAUUCUUUUCAUUCUUGAAUAAUAAAAAUAGUUAGAGACUGUUCACAUGGAUCUUGUAGUGUAAUAUUAAAGAUUCUUUUGAUCAAAAGCUCAGAGUUUGGGGCUGUUGGGGCCAUUGGUACUCUGAAUUUCAUCGUUACCAAAUCCUACUCCUUUAAUAAUGACUGGUUCAGAGGUCAGCGUCCCCUCAAUAUCAAAUUAUCAAUAAAUUUGAUGAGGUGAUGUGGUGAGAUGCGCCCUAGUCAACUCUCCAAUUGCUAUUGUUGGAGUUAGUGUUGCCACUUGUGUAAUUUGCUUGAGACUGUUUAUGUAAUUUGUUUUCCAAGAUGUAUUCGCCAGUUUGGCCUAUUUUGGCUUCAACAAGGGUGAUCUGAAACCAUGUAAAAGAAUUCAAUACUGAAUGAUAUAAACAUUGUGUGUUUUUGUUAAUGUUCAAUAGUUCAAUAUAUAUUGACUAUAGUGUAGUUAAUUAGCAAAUCAAUACCUAUAAUUGUGACAGAAAUGAUAGAGUGAAAGUUCUACAAAAAAAAAACAAAAAACAAAAAAAACUAAUUAUAACAUAUCUAGAAUAUUUAGAAUAAGUGUUCCUACAAUUAUGGUCUAUCGGUGAGAUAUUGGCUCAUUUUAAUACUAAGCUAAUAAUUUUAGUCAUACUUCUUUUUUCUUUGUACAAUACCAAAUUUUAAUCACAUGUAAUCUCAAGCUUCUUGUCAUGCAUAUUUCCUAAGACCAACAUAAACCUUUAGGACUCUUCAUAGGGACCUAAAUCUCGGGAUACUGACCACCCCUAUAACAACCACUACAAGAAAAAAGCCUUUCGUUGACAGUUUUUCACCAUCAAGGUAGGGUAUAUAUGUCAAGGUAUGUUACUAUUUAUAUAUGUCAUCUAUGCCAGUGUCAAGAAAAGUUUAAAGCUAUCUUGACAUUUACAUAUGUCACCUUGACAUUUACAUAUGUCAAGGUUGUUUCUAUUUCUACCAAUGAUCGAAUCUUUGUUAGUAUGACAUAUGUCAAUGUUUCUUUCAUUUUUGUCAAGGUUGGAUUCAACAUAUGUCAAGAUUUUUUGAUCUUAUGUCAAUGUUAACUUGCUUUUCUAUUAAGGUUGCUACAACAAAUGUUAAGAAUAAUAUGUCAAGGUUUCUAGCUAUUGCAAUGUCAAUGUUGGGCAUUGGCCAACUGUCAAGGUUGCCUAUGACAAAUUUAAUAUUAUUUUACUAUAAUUUUUAGUUUUAAUAGAAAAUAAACUUGUUACCAUAUGAAACUUAUUUCCAAAUUAAAUUUGAUACAUAUUUAAUUAUGAUAAUAAUAACUAAGUCCUAAAACAAUGUAAAUAAAUUAUUACUCAAGGGAAAAAAUUAUUAUAGAUACAUUUGAAUACUAACAACACAAUAGAAUAAAUCUUUUUCUACUUACUCUCUAUUUUCUAUAUACAAAAAAAAAAAAAAUUACAAAUAUUCAAUUAAGAUAAUAUACAAACUUAAAUUGAAAAGUACAAUCCUAUCUUCGUAAGAGGUGGUCACUAAUUCUUCAUCAUCUUCUUCUUUUUUGCUAUAUUUCUUGAAUACCUAGUAGGAUAGACACACAUUAAUAGAAAAAUAAGAAACAAGUAUCAAAAUACCAAUUUUCAAAUUAUAAGGUACUUUCAAUUGCAAGAAUACAUCAAACAUAUAUACAAUUUGUAGAUACCAUAUCUCUAGCAUUAAUCUUCAAGCACCGCCCUCUAGAAAGACCCUAAAAUUGCCAAUACCUCUAUCUCAAACUUAUGAUAGAAAAAAUAAACGAUGUUAAGAAAAUGAAAAGCUCAAAUUAAGAAAUUAGAUAUCUAACUACAAUAAAAUAUUUUUAAGAUUGCUCAAUAACCUAUCUAUAAUAUAUGUUGCGUUAGAAACAAAACAAAAAUGCAAACAUUAACCUUCAACAAUCAUAUCGAAAACCUUUUCUUCAAAUGUGAAUACCACAUCGAAUGGCCCAUCAGCAACAUUAUCUUGCUAGCGCUGAGGUGUGGUUUUGAUUGAUGAAUUCCUUUUAAGCAUUGGCAGGAUGCCAUUAUGCUUGUAGAUGUGUUGUCAUUAAGGUUUCAUUUUGCUUUAAGGUUCCAAGCAAAUCAAAUAAUCAUUAGCAAGAAUUUAAAAAUAAUAAUAAAAAAAAAUAAAAAAUAGUAUUGAUUUCUAUACAAGAAUUAAGAGCUUCCUUUAGUUUCUGGUUUGUCCUAGUCUCCAAUAUGAACAUUAACAAUAAACCCCAAUACAACCAUAUUUUGUCAACCAAAGGGGUUUAAGGUUCUAUUCAGGAACUUUACACAAAUUUCAAUAUAAAACAAAUACUCAAAUGCUUUGUUCGAUCAACAAGAAAACAUGCUAAAUUUUGAGUUUUAGAUUCAUAGCCUAACAAAAUGAUUUGUUUUAAAUUUCACAUCACUUUCAAUUAAGCUUAACACAAUUAUCUAGUCUAAUUGCAAGUUUUCAAUUUCCCCCUUUGGUGGAGACCAAAAAAGAAAACAAAAAGAAACCAUUCAAAACAAAUUUUCCCCCAUCUUCUCGACUAUCAAACAGAGGACAAGCUAAAUUUACAUCGUCCACAACCUUUAGCAUGGUCCACAUUAGGUAGUCUUUCACAAAAAUGAAAAAAUUAACCAAACAAAAAUACAAACAGAGCAAUGCAUCAAACAUCUAUAAAAUUCCUCAUUUGGAUAGUGAGAAAAUGUAAGCAAAUAUUUUUUUUAAAAAAUAUCAUAGUCAUGAUCCAAAUAUCUUUCAACCGCCUUUAAAGAACCACCACACAACCCAUUUGGUUAAAAAAAAAAAAAAAAAAAAUUCUUUUUCUUUUCCUCGCUAAUGUUUUUUUCUUGGGAAACAAACAGGAAAACCUAGAAAUGGAAGAAAGAUGAUACAGGUCGGGGUCUUUGCGGCAGAGAUCAUCGAACAUGUACCAACAAUUGAGAUGAAACCAACAAACUAUAGCAUCAAAUUGGAACCAAAUGCCUCAAUACCUACAACAAAUGAAAUCGAAUGAGUUUAGUAGUCAACGUAAGCAUGAUCAAGUAGUAAAAUGUUACAUCUAACAUCAAUGCAGCCCCCACAAAAUUCAUGUUACGACACUCUUAAUAUUGAUUCCAAUGCUCUCCAAGAUGUAAUUUAAUAGUCAUAUCAGCAGAUUUAGAUCAACUAUUGGUGCUCAUGUUUGGUUCCUUGAAAAUGCGGGAAAAGAUAAGAAUAAGUUUUGAAUCCAAGAUUUCUCAUCAUUUGGGACUUGAGAAAGCAAUUAUUUCCACUCAACUACGCCUGAUUGACUAUUUGAUUCUGCUGAGGUGGGUUUUUUUUUUUCCAUUUUUUUCAAAAUUGAGACAGUGUAAAACUUGUGAUUCAAAAUUUUCUUUUCCUCUGUUUUCUCCACUAUCCAUGAAAAAGUAACAACAGAAAAUUCUGUAUUCCUUGUUGUAAUACCUUUAACAAAUUCUAAAACAGAGAAAUAACAAUCAAAAAUCUAAACUUUCAUGUGAUUAUAUUAAAAAAUGUUAAACAAAAACAAAAUCGAAAAGCCCAAUAGCUUCAGUAGCAAAUAAAGUAUAACACCAGAAGGAAUGAACAACAUAUUUGCAAAAAGAAGAUAGAUUAGAAGAGACAAACCGUGAAACUUAAAACCCAUUUAGAUUAAAGCAAAACACAAACUGAUAAUUCGAUCCAAAAAAUGAAAAAAAACGUAGAGACACCAUAGAGAGAUUAAACCAAAAACCCAACCCAAUUCGUCACUGCAACAAAGUCAAAGCACAAGAAACCAAAACCCCAAUUGGGAUUGAACUGAUCAGACACCCAAAUGAUCACAGACAUCAAAAACCCAGAAAAUCUACCUGAAAAAAAGGGGUUAAAAUUGAAGCAUGUGUCCUCAAAAAAAGACGAGAGAGAGAAAGAAAGAAAGAAAUAACAACAAGAACAUGAGCCUUUCCUUACCUAUAAUUCUCAAAGAUGGAAAAAGAAAGUCCACAGAGCUUAACGUACGCCCCCGUCCCGUAGGAUGACAUGUCAAAUCCUUACUUCUUGAGGAGGGAGUAAGCCUUCAUGCUUCGGUUCUGGUUUGAAGAACACACCAUGGCAGACCGGAACACACCAUGGUGAAGAUGGGAAGGUGAGAGAAAGAGAGAAACAACGAUCGAUCGGUAGCGUCACCGCCGGUGACAACUGAUAGUCGCGAUAUUGUUGAGAUGGGUGAGGCGCAUGGGUAUGGAGAGAGAACUGGGAAAGAAAAAGGAGGAAAGAAAGAAGAAAAAAAAAUGGAGAGUGGCGGUGGCAGAGAAGUGGGAGAGAAAAAUAUGAUCUCUUAGGGUUUCUUUGAAAUGAAUGGUAGAUAUGUGAUUAGAAAAUAAAUGGUCCAGAUUUCACCAACAUUAGUCUUAUCACACCAAAAUUUAAAUUCUUUUUCUAUGAGUCAACUUUAUGAGAAUCAAUAUAUGGAAUAUAUUUAUAACUUUUAUAAUGUCAAUUUACCAUAAUUAAUUUUCUUCUUUCCUAAUGUCUAAAUUUGUAUGAGUUAACUUAAAAAAUAAAAUUUUGAAACUUGAUAUUAUGCCGAACAAUUGAUAAAUCAAAAUUUCAAAUAUCUUAAUUUUCAAGCUUACACAAAUUUAGUAAUUAUUUUUAAAUCAAAUACAAGUUAAUUACUAAUUUAAAAAUAAUUAAAAAUAGUUUGUGAAAACAAGAUUAUAUUAAUACAGACUAAAAAAAAAUCAUUAACAUCAAUGAAUAAAAAAAUAGUUUAUUAGUAUUGAUUUUAUUUAUAUCCAGUUAUAAAAAAAACCAUAAUGUAGCAAAUUUUAUUUCACUAAAAUUAGUGAAUAAAAAAUUAUUUAUAAAAAUUUAUUUCAGUGCUAUUGAUAUAAACUAAAAAAUUAUUUAAUCAAUUUGAUUAAAAAAAAAUGAAAAUUGAUAUUAACAUUACUAAAAAAAUUUAUUAAAUAAACAUUGACUUCCUUAAUCAAAAUUUAUUGUUGUCACUUCAAUUUAUAAUACUUAGUAAGUAAAUUAGAUAUACACAUAUCAAACAAAUUAUUAUCAUUAUUGCUUUUAUUUAAGUACCUUGAAUACAUUGACUUAUAAAUUAUCUGUCAAGAUUCUAUUAUAUAAGUCAUAAAAGAAUUCAACAAAUUUUAUUUAUGUCAUUAUUGGUUUAAACAAGUUAUAUAUGUCAUAGUUGUUCAUUUAAAUAGGCAAUAUUGACACAUAUCACCUUAAGUCAAGAUAAUAUAUGUCAACAAUGACCAUUUUUCUUGUAGUGAACUAGCACCGGAUAAAUUUAAGGUACCAUUAAUGACAUAAUUCGAACCCAAUACCAUAUGCAAUUUAGUGGAACCACACUUCCUAGUUUAUGUUCUGACCAACUAGGCUACCUUGACGAGUAGAAAACAAGUACACAUAACCUCAAGCUUGCUUCUUAAGUCAACGCCAAACAUAGAGCUAUCAUAAACUUGAGCAUAUUUCUUAAAAAAGACAUCGAGUCUCACUUCAUAAACUAUCAUUCUAUUAGAAAGUGAAAUUAUUGUCCAUGUAACAAAUACCUUCUCUAUCUUGGAGACUUGAACAAUGAUUUAGUUAUUAUACAUAAAACUUCAAUGAUUUCAUCUGAAAAUCAAUUAACUAUAUUAAAAUCAAGCUAAUUCUCUUUUAUGUUGCUAUAGGUGGAAUGUAUCUGUGGCCGCAACUAGAUGCCCUGAUUUGCAAAUGGUUGCGUCUUUGCGCUACUAUAGGUAUGUGAAAUGCACAGCUACUUCAUUCUGCUGAUUUGAGAAGAUCCAAAACAAAAUUUAGAUGGUAUUAGAGUUAAUUCUCAACUCCAAUGUAGGAAUUUGUUUGGUUUCAUAAAGAAUGUUUAUUUGUUUUAUUAUGCGAUCCCACAAGACAUAGUGAGAAUGUUAUAUUUACAUGGGAUAUGAAGAAAAAAAUCCCUGCUGUUAUAUACCUAUGAACCCCUAUUAAUUAUGUAAAUGUGUUUUAAGACGUGAAGAGAUUUUGAGUCCAAAAUGAAGAAUAUCUGCACAAUUAAAAGUGGAUUAUGACAAAAACUAUCCAUGUUCUGAUACGGUUUUAAUUUCUAACGUUGCAGGGUCACAACAUGACUGUAGUUGAAGUAGAUGGGCACUUUGUGGAACCCUUUGUGAUAAAAAACCUCUUCAUUUACUCAGGGGAGACCUAUUCAAUUCUGGUGAAGGCUGAUCAAGACCCUUCAAGAAAUUACUGGGUCACAACCAGUGUGGUCAGUAGGAACAACAUUGUCACUCCUCCGGGCUUGGCCAUCUUCAAUUACUACCCCAACCAUCCCAACAAGUCUCCCCCAACAGUCCCACCCGCUGGUCCUCUUUGGAACGACGUCGUGCUGCGCCUCAACCAGAGUCGUGCCAUUAAGGCUCACCAUGACUAUGUUGCCCCCCCUCCUCUCACCUCAGACAGAGUAAAUCUGAUGCUCAACACACAGAAUGAGAUCAAUGGUUACAUGAGGUGGUCUGUGAAUAAUGUGUCCUUCAACCUCCCUCACACACCCUACCUAAUUGCUCUCAAGGAGAAUAUUAGUGGUGUCUUUGAUCCAACCCCUGCUCUAGAUUACUUUGAUUUGGAAAAUUAUGGUAUUUAUACCACGCCAAACAAUUCCAAUGCCACGUCCAGCAACUCAAUUUAUAGGUUGAAGUUCAACACAACGGUGGACAUCAUAUUGCAAAAUUCAAACACCAUGAACAAGAAUAACAGUGGGACGCAUCCAUGGCAUCUCCAUGAGCAUGACUUUUGGGUACUGGGUAUUAUGAAAAAGAAAUAGAGUAUAAGAAAAAAGAGAAACAGAGUAGAGAAUGAAAGAGAAGAAGCAACAGAAUGCUCUGUAUCGUUCGCAUUCAUCAUCUGAAAUAUGUGUAGGAAAGCUCUAGAUAUAGGAGGCUGGAAACAAAGAAUGUUAUAACUAAUCUGAAACUAAUCUGUAGCUAACCUGUAACUAAUUCCAGCUCAUCCUCUUAUAAUUGUUUAACAAACUAACAGAAUCUUAUUUCUCAUAGUUAAGAGAACUUUAAUACUCCCCCUCAAGAUGGAGAAUGAAUAUUAUGAGUUCCCAUCUUGUCAAGUAAAAGUGUGAACUGUGUUGGAUGGAGGGCCUUUGUUAAUAGGUCUGCUACUUGAUGUUGAGAAGAAACAUGAAGUGUUUUCAAUCUGCCAUCUUGGACCUUCUCCCUUACUAAGUGACAAUCAAUUUCAAUAUGUUUUGUUCUUUCAUGGAAAAUAGGAUUUGCUGCUAUGUGCAAGGCAGCUUGAUUAUCACAAAACAACAAUGCUGGUUGUGGAUGAUUUAUGUGCAAAUAUUUGAAUAAGGAAAACAUCCACAUUAAUUCACAUGUAGCAUUUGCCAUGGAACGGUAUUCGGCUUCAGCAGAUGAUCUAGACACAGUGUGUUGUUUCUUUGACUUCUAAGAGAUUAAGGAAUCACCAAUGAAAACACAAAAUCCACUAAUUGAUCUCCUGGUAUCUGGACAAGCAGCCCAAUCAGAAUCUGCAAAGGUUUUCAAUUCUAUGGUAGAUGAAGAGGAAUAAAAGAGACCUUGACCAACUGUAGCUUUAACAUACUGUAAAACAUGAUAUGCUGCUUGUAGAUGAGGAAUCCGAGGCUUGGCAAGAAACUGACUCAACCGAUUAACAGAAAAUGAUAAAUCUGGUCUUGUUAUUGUAAGGUAAAGUAAUUUACCAAUCAUUCUUCUAUAUAUAGAAGGAUCAUCAAGUAAAUCUCCUUCAUCUUGUGAGAAUUUAACAUUUGGAUCCAUAGGAGUCUUUCUAGUUUUGCAGCCAAGAUAUCCUGUGUCAGACAAGAGUUGCAAAGCAUAGUGUCUUUGACUAACAGAAAUUCCUUUAGAGGAUCUACCAACUUCAAGACCAAGGAAAUAUUUCAGAUUUCCUAGAUCUUUAAGUUUAAAAUAGCCAUUAAGAAACUUCUUCAACUCAUCCACAUUUUCUUGAUCAUUACUUGCUAUGACGAUGUCAUCAACAUAAACUAGUAAUGCAAUGAAAGAAUUGCCAUUGAUCUUAACAAAUAGGGAAUUGUCAGAAGCUGAUUGUUUAAAACCUGUGCUGACAAGAACACUAGAGAACUUAGAGAACCAUUGGCGAGAUUCUUGUUUUAGCCCAUAAAGGGACUUGUGAAGUUUGCAAACAGUGUUGAUAGGUAAGGACUCCCUCUCAUGGUAAAGACCAGGUGGUAAAGACAUGUAGACUUCCUCAUGAAGAUCACCAUGCAAGAAUGCAUUAUUGACGUCAAGCUGAGUGAGACUCCAGCCAUGAACAGCAGCUAGAGCAAGAAGAACCUUAACAGUUACCAAUUUUGCAACGGGAGAAAAAGUGUCAAGGUAAUCAACACCUUCUUGUUGAGUGUAGCCUUUGGCUACCAAACGGGCUUUAUAUCGUUCAAUGGUUCCAUCAGCUCGAUACUUGAUUCGGUAAACCCACUUGCAUCCAACAGUGUGUUUACCAGGAGGUAGUGUGGUCAAUGACCAAGUGCUAUUUUCUUUAAGAGCUCUCAAUUCUUCAGACAUUGCUGCUUGCCACUCUGGAAUAACUGCAGCCUCAGCAUAAGUAGUAGGCUCAAAAUUUGAAGAAAUGGCAUUAACAAGAGUUGUGUGAGGGGUGGAUAAUUUAUGGUAAUCAAGUACUUGAGAUAAAGGGUGGCAAGUGAUUGCGAAGCAAAAGAAGUUGAGGAACAAUGAUAAUCUUGAAGGUAAGAAGGUGCUCUCCUAAACCGGGUGGGACGAUCAAGAGAUAAUGAAGUUGGACUAAAAAAAGGAUUUGUUGAAUCAUUGGAAGAAAUGGAAAUAGGAAGUGGAAGAACAAGAUCAGAGAAAAAAUCAAAAUGACAGGGUUGUGAGUCAUCAUUUUGGAAAGGAAAUAUCGACUCAUGAAAAAUGACAUCACGGGAGAUGAAAGUGGCAUUGGUGGACAAGUUAAGUAGUUUAUAGGCCUUAUAACCAGGGGGAUAACCAAGGAAUACAACUUUAAUAGCACGAGGUGAAAAUUUUGUACGAGAAUGGUUCAAAGUGGAAGCAUAGCACAAACAAUCAAAGGCCUUAAGAUGAGAAUAUGAAGGUUUCUUUUUAAACAACAACUCAAAUGGGGUUUUGUUGAUCAAUAAUGGUGAAGGAGUGAGAUUAAUAAGAUAAACAGCUGUGAGAAUGCAAUUGCUCCAAUAAGGCAAAGGUAAGUUUGAUUGAAAGUGCAAAACCAGAGCAACAUUCAAAAUGUGUUGAUGUUUCCGUUCCACAACAGAGUUUUGUUGUGGAGUUUCAUUACAAGAAUGAAAUGACAAAAUUCCUUGGGCACGAAAGAAAUCAGAAAAGACCAAUUCAGGUGCAUUAUCUGAGCGGACAGACUUUAUUUUCACAUUAAAUUAAGUCUAAAUAAGAGUAAAAAAAUUUGGAAAAACAACAAAAACUUCAGAUUUUGCACGUAGAAAAUAUUCCCAAGUAAAUCGUGUACAAUCAUCAACAAUGGUUAAAAAAUAACGAUAUCCCUCAGUGGUGAUUGUAUGAAAAGGACCCCAAACAUCAAUGUGAAUCAAUUGAAAAGGAGAAUUUGAUAAAUUGUUUGAAGACAUAAAUGGCAAACGACGUUGCUUUGCCAAAUGACAUAUUGAACAAUGAGAUGGAGUCUCAGAAAUAUGAGAAAUAUUCAAAUCAUCCUUUAGAGUAUGAAUUUUUGCAUAUGAUGGGUGUCCCAAACGAUAAUGCCAAAGUUCAGUUGAGGAAGAAGAAAAAUUAUUACAAGUUGCUGAAAUGUCAAAUGAUUGAGACACUAAACUGGAAAAAUCCAAGACAUAGAGGUUCCCGUGUCUUUUACCCAUCCCAAUCAUUUUGGCCUGUGAAUGGUCCUGAAUAAGACAAGAAUGAGAGAGAAAAUUAACAGAAUAUUUAUGGCUUUGUGUAAGAGCACUGACGGACAAAAGAUUAAAUUGAAAUUGAGGCACAAAAAGAACAUCAGUCAAGGUGAUAUGAGGUGACAAUUGCACAGAUCCUAUUCUACUAAUUGACACCAAGUGACCAUUAGGAAGAGUAACGGAGGAAUUUGAUGCUGGGACUGAUGAAACAAAGGAAGGUAAAGAGCAACAGACAUGAUGAGUAUCACCUGUGUCCAACACCCAAGCCGAGGAAUCAAGGGAAUUGGGAAAAGAAACUGAAGAAAGGGAGAAUAUACCACUGAAACUGGAGACUGAUGGUCCAGGCUGCUGCAAUUCAGGAGUAGCAGGAGUAUUGUCAUGGAGCUGAGAGCUCAAAAGAGCAAUGAGUUGUUGACAUUGAGCUGGAGAUAGUGAAGCAAGUGGUGAAUCAGCUGUAGCAGAGGCUUCAGUGGUUCUAGAACUAGUUUGAUUUGCUUGAGCUUUAGCAUGAGGAUUCUUGGAUUUGAAUUUAUAUCCAGGUGGAUAUCCAUAGAGUUUAUAACACUUAUCAACUGUGUGACCUAAAAUUCCACAAUGAGAGCAAGUGGGUCGAUCCUUCUUAGGCUUGGAAUUCAAUCUGGCAGCUGAAAUUGCAACAGUGGAAUUGGAAUCAUUUGCAGCUACUGAAUCAGGCGGAGUAUAGAGCCCAUAAUUAAUGGAGCGUUGUUGUUCAUCUUGUGCAACUAGUGAGAAAACUUUAGCAAUUGGAGGAAGAGGUUCCAUCAUUAAGAUCUGAGAACGUGUUUGCACAAAAGAUUCAUUGAGGCCCAUAAGAAAUUGCAUCACAUAUUCCUGCUGCUGAAAUUCCAUCCAAGUCUUCAUAGUACCACAAGCACAUUCUGGAAGGGGCUGGAAACCCUUAAGCUCAUCCCAAAGAAUUUUCAGUCGGGUAUAGUAAGUACUUACAUCCAAGGAUCCUUGACUUAAAGCUAUAAGAUGUUUUUUGAUUUGAAAAAUUCUUGGACCAUUACUUUGACGAAAUCUAUCCCGAAGAUCAUUCCAAAUUCCCAUAGCGGUAUCAAAAUACAAAAGGCUAUCGACUAUGUCCUUAUGAACAGAAUUGAGAAUCCAAGAAAUUACCAUGCUGUUGCAGCGAAUCCACGUACCAAAAAGAAGAUCAUCAGAUUCAGGGCAAGGAAUACUCCCAUUAAUAAAACUGAUUUUAUUCUUGGCAGUGAGUGCCAUAACCAUGGCUCUGCUCCAAGUAUUAUAGUUAGCACCAGUGAGAUGAUGGGAAACGAGAACAAUACCAGGAUGAUCUGAAUUGUGGAGGAAAUAAGGAUUGGUUGAAUCUUCCAUAGAUGAUAAUGAGUUAGGAACACCGGUGGUAACCCGAUUGAUUGUGCUUCCUCGAGUCAUUAGAGAUGAAAGAAGACAAAACAGAGUAUGGCGAGCAAGAGCAAUUGCUCUGAUACCAUAUUAUGAAAAAGAAACAAAGUAUAAGAAAAAAGAGAAACAGAGUAGAGAAGGAAAGAGAAGAAGCAACAGAAUGCUCUGUAUCGUUCUCAUUCAUCAUCUGAAAUAUGUGUAGGAAAACUCUAGAUAUAGGAGGCUGGAAACAAAGAAUGCUAUAACUAAUCUGAAACUAAUCUGUAGCUAACCUGUAACUAAUUCCAGCUCAUCCUCUUACAAUUGUUUAACAAACUAACAGAAUCUUAUUUCUCACAGUUAAGAGAACUUUAAUACUGGGCUAUGGGGAAGGCACGUUUAAUAUGUCCAGUGAUCCAAGAACCUACAAUCUGAUUAACCCAAUUAUGAAGAACACAACACCUAUUCAUCCUUAUGGAUGGACUGCCUUAAGGUUUCGAUCUGAUAACCCAGGUGCCUGGGCAUUCCAUUGCCAUAUCAGUCUCAUUUCUAUAUGGGUAUGGGAGUUGUUUUUGAAGAAGGGGUGGAGAGGGUGGGAAAGCUGCCUUCAUCUAUCAUGGGUUGCGGUAAAGCCAAGGGUCUCGGCGGUAGGCCAUAAUUUUUCUUCCCUAUUAUCGACUAAUUGAGGUAAAGUUUAAUUGUAUCACCUUUUCUAUAUUAUGUCGACGAUAAUACGAAUUCUUUGUAUUCUUGAAUGAUAAAAAUAGUUAGAAAGUGUUCACAUGGAUCUUGUAGUCCUGAAACACUUGUAAUAUUGAAGAUUCUUCUUACCAAAAGGUCAAGAGUUUGGGGCUGCUGGGGCCACCGGUACUCUGAAUUUCAUCGUUGCCAAAUCCUACCGCUUCAACGAUGACUAGUUCAAAACUCAACGUCCCCUCAAUAUCAAAUUAUCAUUGUCAAUUUGAUGAGGUGAUGUGGAGAGAUGCGUUAUCAACCUAAUAUUUAGAAAAAGAGGGGUUUUAGCUACUCGCGAAUAGGUUAAAUUUUUUCCUACUUUUAAAAAAAAGUUGUGUUCUUAUGUCAUAUUCCUUUCCUUGUAAAUAUUGUUCUCCUUGUUCCAAUAGAUCCAAUAAAUAUUGAUCUCCCUUAAUUAGGUCUAUAGUUAAUUAUGAUCCGACUCAUGUUAAGAAAUAAUUCAAGCAUAAUUCGACUUUUAAAACGAGGUACUCAAUUCAAAUUCAAUCUUUUUUUUAAAAAAAUAAGGAUAACUAGAUUUGACUCAAAUUAAUCAAGUUGUAUUUAUUUUUUUAUAUAUAUUUAUAUCAAAAAUUAAAUAGUAAAUAUGAAAAAAAUAAGAUAAUAGCGAAAAAGUAAAAUUAAAAAAAUUUAGAAAGUAUAUGAUAUAACUAUUUUUGACAAUUUUCAUUAAAAUUUUUUGAAAAAUAAAAUUAAUAUUAUUAUAUAAGAUAAUACAAGUUAUAACUAUUAUCAUAAUAUUACAUCAAAUUGUUAUGUUCAGAUUUCUUGAAUUAUGACUCGAUCAAAUCUAAUUCAAAUUAUGUCGAGGUUUGUAAAUACUUACUCAAAUCUAAUCAAAGGUUGUGAUAGGUUGAGCUAAUCCACCCUAAUUGCACCUUUACUAAAAUCAAUUAAAUUACAAAAUAAUUAUUAAAAAAAUAUUUCUUUAUUAUGGUUACAACUUCUUUGAUAUAUAUAUAUAUAUAUCAUACAGAAAGAAACACACCAUUGUACAAAUAUAAAAAAUAUUAUACAUCUUUUCUUUGUAAAAGCUUAGGACAUCUAUAGGGCCUUUUUCUUAAUGGUUCUAAGCAAUUGCAAGAUCAAAAUUGUGUAGAAAAAUACAUUAAUCUUUCAGUGUUAUUCCACAUGAAGCUGUGGCAAUUGCGCCUUGUCAUAAGCUGAAUCAUCUUCACUAGAUGGUAGUGCUGGCAAUUUGACGUGACUUUCAUUUGCUGAUGUGGUAUUAUUGUUGGGAUAAUCGAACCGGUGCCAUCUCAUGCUGCCAUGACAAGUGGAUAUUAUGUGGAUUUCAAACAAUUUUAAGUAAAAAAAAAAAAAAAAACAGUUUAUUAUCAUAGAAGGAGGGUAUGAAGCUUGAGGCAUGAGGGCCGAGAGGAGUUCAGUUGACUUGUAUGAAUGAUGCCAUGGUGGAAGGCCCUCACCGCCCGAGUUGUUGAUGUGACAUCCUCCAAUGUUGAUUGGGUCCACAUUGAUACUUGUUCCAUGGCCCAGAUUUGUAAAAUAUUUACAUAAUCACAUAGAUUAAUCAUACAUGAUUAAAGGAUACUAACAAUAGGAAAUCACUAUAAAGAACAUACAUGUUUGAGCCAUAAUAAAAAACCGUGAUUGAUUGUUGCAACUAAAUCUUCCUCUCUAUAAUCUUGAUAACAGCUAUGGUGGUUUUAUAGGAAAACAGAAAAACAGAAAAACUUUUUUUUAUCUAAAUUAGAGAGGGGACUUAGCAUAACUCAAAUUGGAUUCUCAUUGGGCCCUCCCAUAAUGGGCUUCAAUGAGAUCCAAAGCUUGUACUUGUCACUUAACUGAGCUUCUACUCAAAAUAUGUAAAACUCAAUCCAAAAUGUGAUCACUAGUUAAUUGGGUUCAUUAUGUAAUAGACUAUCCAUUAACCCGUUUUUGCAAAUACGAAUUAUUCAAUUAAUGUUAGCUCAUAUAAAAAAUUUUCCAACAUGAUUAUCAUAGACAUUCGUCGAUGGGUGGUUUGUGGAAAAAAAAAAACAAAAAGCAAUUUUAGGCGGCUUUUUAAAUUUGGAGUAAGGAAAAUCCAACAAAAAAUAUUAAUAAAAAAAUAAAGAAGAAAAAAAAAUGAAAAAAAAUAAAUAAAUUAAAUAAUUCAAUUACCAGCUUCUUCAAUCUAUCUUCCUGUUUUUCAUUUUUUUUUAGGUAGAACGAAAAAACCUUGAUCAUUCCUGUUAUCGGCUUCUAUCGGCUUCCAUGGCUUUUCGACGUUCAUGCCAAGAAAUAAAUCUUUGCAGUGGUGUAAUUCCCACAUAGGACGCCAAUGUAGAUACCAGUAACCUUAUUUUCCCAUUUGCAUGGCCGGGUAUUUCCACGUGAUUGGUGUUUUUAGUGGAUUUCAACUUUUACAGAUUGCUUUUUUGACUUCUUGGUACAAGCCAAUUGGUGGCAUGAAAUGUACAUCUCGGAAUCUCCCCCGUUAUCUGGUCUUGUAAGUUGAUCUCUUUUGGGGUUGUGGUGGGUAGGUGACCCGAUUGGGGUUAACCGACUGUUGUACCUCCAGUAAUGACAUUUUUAGACAAUGGUGAGAUAAGGCUUGGAAUUGGUGUUUGGUAUUUUGAUCUUGCACGUUGUUUGGUGAAACCCUUUUUAGAUGACUCAAUGGGCUUGGGUUGAUUAACAUAUUUAUCAAUUGAUUUUAUUGAUUAAGAGUAUGGUAAUAUUUCUCUUAGAAAUAUUUUAGUGAAAGUGUUUUUUUAUAAAAUAUUUUUAAGAAAAUUAUCUAUUAAGUAUGUCUUCAAAAUGCAUUUUUAAGUGUUUUUUAAAUUUUUUAAAAAUGUUUUCAAAAUUUUAUCAAACAUCCAUUUUUCUUUUUCAAAAUUAUUUUAAAAUUAGAAGUGCUUUUUUAAAAAAACUAUCAACAGACUCUAGAUUCCCGUGUUGAGAAGAUUUCUCAUGCUUCAACGAAUUAAGUAUAAACAUCAUACAAAAAACCCUUCAAAAUUCCAUCAAGAAGUAAAUUGAAUUUGGUUAAAAUAAAUCCAAACCAGCAUAAUCUCCUAGGAUAGGUGAAAUUUUUUUACAUAUGGGUUAACUUUAUUCACUUUCCCUAAUUUUGAAUUAAAUUCAUCUAAUCACCAUUUACUUGAAAUUUCAUCAAAUAUUUUUUUUUUUAUUUGUUAUUUUUAUUGAUUUAUUAUUUAAUUUAAAAUAAGAAAAAUAUUUGAUAAAAUUUCAAGUUGACGAGGACUAAAUUUAUUUAGUUCAAGGAGGGUGAAAUUUACCAUUUUAAAUGGUAAUGCAUCAUUUCUAAUUUCAAGAAUCAUUACAUGUGGAUAAUACAAUAGAUGAUUAAAUAUGACAAAGUCAAAGAAAAAAGUGAGUAGGAUGCCAAUGCAUAGAAGCUACUUGACCCAUAAGGUUAAAGGUACAUUAGCCACCCAAAAUGGGCUGAGUUUCUUAGUCUGAGUCAUUCUCCAUACCCACUUUGGGCCAAGUUCGACUAGGCCCAAAGGCGAUAUCCAGGUCGACUUACGACCCAAUCCUAUCUUGGUUUGGGCCUUGGCAAGCUCGGGUUAGGCUUGCUAUUUUUUUAUUUAUAAUGUAAAAAUGGUUUAAAUAUUCUUCGUGUUUCUAAUUUAUGUUCAUUACAUCUUUUGAAAAAAAAAAAUCAAAAUACCAUAAAUUUGUUUUGAAAACAACCCAUUUUUAAAACAAAUUCUCCAAAAAUAAAAAAUUGCUUUAAGUAAAAGAUUUGUCGAACUUGUUUUAUAAGUUACAAAAGUUUUUUCUAUUUUAAAAAAUAAAAAGUUGUUUUAGUUUUCAAACAAACUCAUCAACCAAAUAAGAUGAAAUAUUAAAUAAAUAAAUAAAUUUAAAUAUAUUUUCUUUGUUUUUUUAAGCAAUGUGUAGACCCCCACUUUGGGAGGUAAUUGUUGUAGCAAAUUUUGCCAGGUGGAGCAGCUUUAAGAGGCCGCGUGGUGCCUCUUGACAGGCUGCUGAAGGAUCAAGUAGUGGAUUUGAGAGGCAAACCAGGUGGUGACACCUGUAAAGUGAUUCUUCAGGCAGUUAUGAGAUAUUUUUUUAGGACUGCCAGCUGCAUGAGUGAGGGGAGGUCGUCUGGCCGUUGGAGGAUACCUUUUUCCUGCCAGCUGCAGGGUAGUGGAGAAGAGGCUGGUCUGGGAGCAGGCCGUGGGAGAUAUUUUUUGGGGGAGUUUUUUUUUGGAGAGGGGGAUUCAUCUUUCAGAGGAGGAAAAAAAGUUGAGGGGGGAGAGAGGAAAAGAGAGGACGGCUACAGGAAGAGUUUUUUAGGGGACUUUCUCUGGGAAAGCUACUAGAGAGAGAAGGAAGCUCGCGGGAGAGAGGGGUAAGCUUUGGAGAGAACUAGGGAUGGAAGGGGGGAGGAGUAGCAGAGAGGUGAGUUUUUGGAGAGCUUAGAGAGAGAUAUUUUUUUAGGGCAUUGCUUGACAAGCAAGCCGGACAGGAGAAUAAGUUUUCUUAGAGCUUGAGGAGAGCUCAGAGAGAAAACCAAGGGGAACUUGCUGGUGAGAAUAGGAGGGGAUAUCUUUUCUUUUCUAGAGGUAGCAGAGUGGAGAAGAAACAAGUUUGAAGGUAAGCAUCUCGGGAGUAAAAGGACUUCCUCAGGUAUGAUUGCUACAGGCUUAUUGAUUGUUUUUGGCUGUUUAUCACUCUCCUAUGUCUCUUGUUGAUAUUUGAAUAUUUGUUGAUUUGCUUGGGGUGGAUAAUGGAGGCCACUUAUUGCUUGUUGAAACAUAAUCCUGUCUACAUGUUUACCACUGUUAACCUUAGUAUGUUUUGCUCCUAUUAUGAAAAUGCCCUCAGUUGCCUUUGAAAUGAUUUUUCUCACCUAAUCAGAGGGUUCACGGAUGACUCAUGAAGUGAAACCUCUGAAAAUCACCUUUACUCAUUUUCUUUUGUGUUCUUUUCAAUGGUUUUUUUUUCUUUGUUGUGACCAAUACUUUGCUUCUGGGCCUCGUUCAAUGUAAUGGCUGUAAAAAAGUAGAUCUGGGUCUAGUUGUGUACUCAUUCAGAGAUCAAAUAUGUUGGGAAGAGACUAUGAUUGGGUGAUGAGAUUCUACUAUAAGGUUCAAGGGAGGUUCAAUUGGUUCAAUGAUGCCACUCUGAAUUUGUUGAUAUCCUAUAUGUGUGUAGAAGAGAUGCUCAGUGGGUCUCCUUUGGGUAUCAAAACUCUGUUUUUCCUAGAUAUCAGUGGCAUGCUUAAAGGUAUAUUAUCAGGUCCUGGCCUGGUUGUAAGUAUAUCUAUUUCAUCUGCUGGAUUCUUGCGAAGAAAUCUCCCUCUAGCAGUUCUAGGAAAUGGGAAGACGUCAAUGGGAAUGUGUCUGUGGUUUCUGCUCAUGAGAAUAUAUUGAGUGAUCAGCCUGAGUUGCUGCAGCAACUUGGAAUGGACCUUUCUUUCUGUUCCAAUACUGAUCUAUGACCCAUUGAUAGAAGUCCACUUGGCAGAUUUUUGAAGAUGGAGAGGCUCGAAAACCAUCUAUGCAUACUGAUGUAGGUCCCGUGUCUGAGACAAGAGGUGCAGAAAAUGCCGAUUAUGCUGAUUCUGAUAAUAAAAACAGUGGGAUUUCUUGGGUCCUUAUUGUGAUGGUUGCCCUAUGUCACACCCUCAUGAGGAAGAAGACACCAAAACAGAAUAUCUCGGUAAAAUAUUAUGGUAUCAGCAGGGAAUGUCUCAAUGUCGUUACUGAUGAGUAAACUGACAUGGUUGCUGAGAAAGGCGUUUGUUUUGACAAGUCAACCACAGUUGAGAUCUCUGGAGACGCGCGGUCAUAGCCUAGAGCUCGCGCUGGAUGAGAUAUCAUUUGACUUGGCUGUGUCAAACAAAAAGGCGUACCAUACAGACUCCGCGGGAGCCUCAUGCUGCAUGCUAACUGAUGCUGAUUUUCUAAACUAUAAGUUUUGGAGGAAAACAGAAGGCCGGAGAUCAGCAUCAAGGCUUUCUUCUUCUCAAACCACUCAAUCAAGCAUCCGAUGAAACGCUGCACUUGAUCCUUGAGACACUGCAAGCAGCUAUAAAGACGGGUCAUGAAGCAUCUGCAGCAAUAAAACCCAUCAAUCUCAUUAUCCAUCAAGUCAAGCCAAACCAUUUCUCCAACCUCUUCACAGCCAUACCCGUCUUUCUUACCCCUGAACAUACCUAUUCUCCAUACCCAUUAAAUCUACUCCUCUUCACCACUCCUUCCACUGAUCCUAAGCCUUAUCUCUCUACACUACACGCCUCCAUACCCAUCUUCUAAUGCCCGUCACCACACCACUCCCUCACACUAUCCCACUCACCCAUGUUCAAAAGAAUGCGUGGCUAAAACACUGAGGAUGUUAAGGAGUUCCAGAGAGUGCCAGGGUGCAGAUGUAUAUAUAUUUCCAUGCAGUGAACAGAUUGCAAGAUGCCCACGAACAGAUCGGUACAGUCGUCUCAACAGUUUUGAAGGCAAGCCACCUGCUUCUCAUAUUUCUGGGGUCUUCGGAACGGGGUCUGAUUGGACAUUUUUCUAGUAUCCAACCGAAUUUGAUGCUGGAAGUGGGAGAAAUUCAAGGAAGGCCUGCGAAGACUACCUCUCAUGUCUUUGAUAACGAGAAUCAUUCCAGCUUGGAUUGAUAUUAUCCCAAAAGCUCCAGUUUUGCCAAAAGAUCCAAGAAUAAACGAAGCAAUGAAUGCUAGAAUCAUGGUACAAUCUUUCAAACGAGUUCAAGGUGCAGUUGCAGUGGAAAUCCUCCUAUCAAACUGAUCUCAUUCUCCAAACAAGCAGCUGAAACUUUGAUGAUAAGUGGGUCUAGUCAUUUAUGGUCGGACUCUCCCGGGGAUUGAGCACAUAGUUACACAGUUGUGAUUAUAUCCCCAAGUACUAACAUGAGUGAAGAUUUGAAAUCUCAGCAGUGGUGGCACCAUGUUGAGAAGGGAACCCUCCUUGAAGCUGCAGAUCACCAACUUUUGAAGAAUUUGAAGAAAAAUAUGAAGAAUUUGAAAACAAAAUAUGGAGGAACACCUCAAUUCAUUCUGUGAUACCUCCCUUUACAAUGAAUGAAAGCAUAAAUAAAUAGCCUACGGAUAUGAGACAAUUCCGGAAUGGAAUUUCCCUUACAUGGAAAGUGAAUAAACUCUUACAUGGGAAGUGAAUAAACUACUCUUACAUGGAAAGUGAAUAAACUACCUUGCUAGAAUUACUCCUAAAUAUAUAAACUACUCUUACAUGAAAAGUGAAUAAACUACCUUGCUAGAAUUACUCCUAAAUCAAUUAUAAUAAAGGUUGUACAUUACACUAAUUAGGGAAGUAAACAGAGGAUGCUGGCUUGAUUUCCAACACUCCCCCUCAAGCCGCGUUGUAGAUGUUGAUCAUUCCAAGUUUUUCUGUCAGAUCUUCGAAGUUAACUCGAGCAAGAGCUUUUGUGAGAAUGUCAGUCGUUUGACAGUUUGUCGAAGUGUAGCUGACUUUGAAAACUCCUUCUUCAAUCUUUUCCUUGAUAAAGUGUCGAUCUAUCUCCACGUGCUUAGUUCGAUCAUGAUGAACCGGAUUCUUAGCGAUACUGAUGGCAGCUUGAUUGUCACAGUAUAACACCAUGGGAUGCUUCAAUGGAACCCGUAAUUCUUCUAACAGCCUGUUCAACCAGAUUCCCUCGCAGAUACCUUGUGCCAUAGCACGAAAUUCUGCCUCAGCACUGCUACGGGCUACCACUGACUGUUUCUUGCUUCGCCAUGUAACCAAGUUCCCCCAGACAAAUGAACAAUAGCCUGAAGUUGAUCUCCGAUCAGUCACUGAACCUGCCCAAUCUGCAUCUGAAAAAAUCUCAAUCUCUUUAUUUGUUGUUCUUUGAAAGAAGAGACCCUUUCCCGGUGUCAUCUUGAGGUAUCUCAAUAUUCUGAUCACAGCAGUCAUGUGUUUUUCGGUUGGAUUAUUCAUGAAUUGACUUACCACACUAACGGAGAAGCCGAUGUCUGGCCUUGUAUGAGAAAGAUAGAUGAGUUUCCCCACAAGACGUUGAUAUCUUCCUUUAUCAACUGGCGCACUUCCAUCACUUUCUUCCAGUUUGACAGUUGUAUCCAUAGGUGUUUCUGCCGGCUUGCAUCUUAGCAUUCCUGUUUCAUUCAAUAAGUCCAGAACGUAUUUGCGUUGUGAGACUGCUAUACCUUUCUUUGACCUAGCAAUCUCCAUUCCGAGAAAGUACUUGAGGUUUCCAAGAUCCUUGAUCUCAAAUUCCUUUGUCAGUAAUUUUUUAAGUAAGUCAAUUUUCUCUUCAUGAUCACCUGUCAAAAUUAUGUCGUCCACAUAUACAAUGAUAAUUGCCAGUUUCCCUUCUAGGAAGUGUUUCACAAAUAAUGUGUGAUCGGAUUGACAUUGAACGAAUCCGUACCCUUUCACUACCUUAGUGAACCGUUCAAACCAGGCCCUGGGAGAUUGUUUGAGACCAUACAAGGAUUUUCGGAGUCUGCAAACCUUGUUGAAAUUUGAUGUCGUCUCAAGUCCAGCAGGAAUGUCCAUGUAAACUUCUUCCUCUAAGUCACCAUUGAGGAAGACAUUCUUCACAUCAAGUUGGUGAAACGACCAAUCGAGAUUAGCUACCAAGGAUAAAAGUACACGAACAGUAUUGAGCUUGGCAACUGGAGCAAAAGUUUCUUGAUAGUCAAUGCCAUAGGAUUGGGUGAAUCCUUUGGCAACCAACCGAGCCUUAUACCUGUCCACAUUACCAUCUGCCUUGUACUUUACUGUGAAAAUCCACUUACACCCAACUGGUUUCUUACCUCUUGGGAGGUCAGUAAUUUCCCACGUACCAUUCUUUUCCAGCGCCCGAACUUCCUCAUCGACUGCCGCCUUCCACUUAGGAUACUUGAAAGCUUCCUGAAUAUUCUGAGGAACUUGUAUCUCUGUGAUGCUAGAAGUGAAUGCACGAAACGUAGGUGAUAACUUAUCAUAAGAAAUAAAAUUUCCAAUGGGAUGCUGAGUACAUGAUCUAACUCCUUUCCUCCAAGCUAUGGGCAUAUUAAGAAUAUCAUUUUCUAACUCGGAAUCAACAGUACCAUCAGGAGCGUUGUUACCUGGAAGUUUGCUUGGAUUAGGACCCGGUUCUGCCUCAUGGGUUUGUUGAGAAAGUGUUUUUUCCUCCGUUUCCUCUUGGAUGUGCUCCUUAUCCCACAAGUCAACAAUGGACUCGGGUUGAUUAAAUGACUCUGGAGGAAUGUGAUUUUCAGUGGUGAUGGGUGACUCACUGAAUGACUCAAGAUCCCAAAAUUGAUAUUCCUGAGUUGAAUUCUCCCCCUGAAUAUCGUUUUUGGGAUAGUAAGGCUGGGUUUCAAAAAAGGUGACAUCCAUUGAAUUGUAGAAUUUUCUUGUGACCGGAGAGUAACACUUAUACCCUUUUUGAUUUGAAGAAUACCCAAGAAAGAUGCACUUGAGUGACCUAGGAUCAAGUUUACUUCUAUGUUGUUGAUUGAUAUGAACAAAGACAGAGCACCCGAAAAUUUUGGGUGGGACGGUGGAGAUGAGACGAGUAGUCGGAAAGGAUUUUAGGAGUGUUUGACAAGGUGUUUGGAAUUUUAGUACCCUAGACGGCAUCCUAUUGAUGAGGUAGGCUGUCGUAAGGACAGCUUGCCCCCAGAAUAAUUUUGGAACAUUCAUGGAGAACAUUAGUGAUCUAGCCACCUCUAACAAAUGUCUAUUUUUCCUUUCAGCGAUUCCGUUUUGUUGUGGGGUAUCAACACAUGAACUUAAGUGAACUAUCCCUUCUUGUGCUAGAAAUUCUCCUAGAAUGGAGUUGAAAUAAUCCCUAGCAUUAUCAGACUUUAGAAUUUGUAUUUUUGACUGGAAUUGGGUCUGAAUCAUAUUUUUAAAAUUUUUGAAAAUUUGACUCGUUUCAGAUUUUUCUUUCAUGAGGAAUACCCAAGUUAAUCUAGUGUGAUCAUCUAUGAAUGAGACAAACCACCUAGUACCAGUUACAUUUUUUAUUCUUGACGGACCCCAGAUAUCGCUAUGAAUCAUUGAGAAUAGACUAGACUCUUUAUAGGGUUGAAUGGGAAAAUGAGACCGGACUUGCUUUGAUAAUUGACAGAUUUCACACUCAAAGGAUUUUGGAUUUUUAUUAAAUAAUGAAGGAAAUAAAUGCUUGAGAUACAUAACAUUUGGAUGACCUAAGCGAUAGUGCCACAACCUAAUUGCACUAUCGUUAUUUUGACAUGAAACCGAAAAAGAAUUACUACCAACUGUCAUUUGAGGUUGUUCUUGUGGAUCGUGGCACUCCUUAAGGAUGUAGAGUCCAGAGCAUUCCUCAGCAUUGCCAAUCGUCUUCCCCGAAUCCAAAUCCUGAAAUUCACAGUGAGUGGAGGAAAAAUUAGUAAUACACCUCUUUUCCUUAGUGAGUUUACUAAUUGACAAUAGAUUACAGUCCAAGUUAGGAACAAGGAGAACAGAGUUGAGAGUAAGAUCCCUUGAUAGCACAACUGAACCUGUUCCGGCAACCUUUGAUAGUGAACCAUCUGCUAUUCGGACUGUUAAAUUAUUUGGACAUGAGCUAUAUGUAUCAAAAAUUGUCGCAUCUCCCGUCAUAUGAUCAGAUGCUCCUGAGUCCACUAUCCAAGGUUUUUUACGUUUCUUACCAGCAGUGAAGGCACUCAAAAAAUUACUUUUGUGAGCCAAGGUUCCGGAACCAAUGACCUGGUUGGAAGAUGAGCCAGUUUGUGACUGUACUGACAAAAGAGGAGACAGUAGUUUCUGAAGCAUCUCCAUUUGCUCCUUAUUAAAAGGGCUAGCUUCAGGUUGUGGCGAUUGUUCAUCGGUAGCCACAUGAUUGCCUCGUCCUUCUUUCUCAAGUGGUUGACGUGGCUUCCAAUCUACUGGCUUUCCAUGAAUCUUCCAGCAAGUUUCUCUUGAGUGUCCCGGCUUUCUGCAAUGAUCACACCAAGGUCUACCUCCUUUAAUUUUUUGACGGUUGUCAAAAGGAGCGAAUUGAGUCUUAAGAGCCGAGCUUUCUGCCAUAUUCAGUUGUUGAUGGGAUCCCAUCAUGAGAUUUUUCCGACUUUCUUCGCGACAGACUUCAGAGAAUGCCUCUCUGAGGCUAGGUAGGGGUUUUACUCCCAUGAUUCUUCCUCUGAUUUCAUCAAGAUUUUUGUUCAAACCUAACAAAAAUUUAAACACACGUUUCCCUUCGACAAUCUUUUUAUACAAAAAACCAUCUGUAACACAAUUCCAGUUAUGAACCUCAAACGUAUCAAGUUGACGCCAUAGACGAGUAAGAGUAUUGAAAUAUUCAGUUACCGUAAGGUUUCCUUGACGCAAAUCGUGGAGGAUGCCUUCAAUCUGGAUGAUUUCAGAUGUGUUUUCCUUGUCUGAGAAAGUUUCUUUUGCAGUGUCCCAGAUUUUUUUGGCAGUAUCAAAAGACAGAAAAUCUUCACCAAUGUCAGCGGUCAUAGAGUUGACUAGCCAGGACAUGACCAUAUUAUUUUAUGCUCUCCACUUUUUGUAGGUUGAUGCUGUGGUUUCUGGUGCCACCGAAGCUCCGGUGAUGUAGUCAUCUUUCUCCUUUCCCCGUAUAAACAUUAAUAUGGACUGAGACCAUUGCAAAUAAUUUUGCCCAUUCAGUUUAUGGGCUGUGAUUGGAAGAUGAGAGGUUUCCAUCUGAUGAGAGGAUGAAGACGAUGAGAUGAUGAUAUCAGAAGUAGAGGAUGAUGAGUUGGUAGCCAUUCCAAAGGCUGGACCGUAUUUAGGCAUAAAUUAGAAGAAUAGAAUUGAGUAAAAAAAAACUGACUAAAGAUGAAGACGAUGAGACAGGAUUAAACCUGCUCUGAUACCAUGAAGAAUUUGAAGAAAAAUAUGAAGAAUUUGAAAACAAAAUAUGGAGGAACACCUCAAUUCAUUCUGUGAUACCUCCCUUUACAAUGAAUGAAAGCAUAAAUAAAUAGCCUACGGAUAUGAGACAAUUCCGGAAUGGAAUUUCCCUUACAUGGAAAGUGAAUAAACUCUUACAUGGGAAGUGAAUAAACUACUCUUACAUGGAAAGUGAAUAAACUACCUUGCUAGAAUUACUCCUAAAUCAAUUAUAAUAAAGGUUGUACAUUACACUAAUUAGGGAAGUAAACAGAGGAUGUUGGCUUGAUUUCCAACAACUUUCAAAGCAGGGUACCAUUUGCACCUCAAGUCCGCGUGCAUGGCCACCUUUUGCAUGGCCAACUUAGGGCCGCGUGUCACUCUCCCGAAUUCCUUCCUUUUGACUUUAAAAAUAAAUUUCCUAAACCUCAUUUUCUAAAAUGAUUUCUUUAAUUCUGUUUUUUUUAAUUAGUUUCGAAUCUUCAAAUUUUCCCAUCCUUAGCAUUUUUCUUAGGUUCCAAAAAUCCCAUUUUCAAUAAAAUUUGGUUACCAUUUUCUUUUCGGCAAGCCACUUUUGAAUUUUCUUUGUUUUCUAAAAAUGUUUUAAAAUAAGUAAGGAUUAAAUUCUGUAAUUCCAAAUGAUGGAAUUUACGGAAUUAAUUCAUGCAAGAAUAAAACGGGCAUUGGUGGGGGUCCGACAUAUGUGACUUUGUAAUUGAUUGAUUGAUUGAUUGAAAUAAUACCAUGCAUGAUAUUGGUGUUCCUUUAUCUAGUUGGGUGAUAUGAGUGAUAUAUUUUAUGCACAUUACUAUGCACUAAUCCCAUUUUGUGAUAGCGUGUUGCCGUUUGCUGAUCAAAUACGCAUCCACUUCCACUUCGGUUAUCCUCUAUUGCAUAUUUUGAUACUCAUAUGUGCAUGAUUGAUUCGAGUAUUCAUUGAUUUUCUCAUUGAUUGUCAUAUAAGCUUCAUCUCAUUAGUAGAGACCCGACUUUAGGGACUUAGAAGGGUGCUACGGUCUUUACCGUACAUUCCCGAUAAGUAACCUAACCCCCGAACCCGAUCCGAUUUUUCACAGACCGCCUUUUCCAAAAUAAGGAGUCACACUUAGGGUUUUGCUUUCUUAUUUUGUUUACCCUUUAAAAAUAAAACAAAAAUAAGUGGCGACUCCAAGUCCUUUUUCUUAAUCAAUAAAUUAAAUCAUUUUUUCAAAAUCAAAAUCGAGAGCUUGCCAUUUGAGUGGGUAACGCAUUGAGCCGAAAUGCGGGGUCCACACAAUGUUUUAAAAAUCAAACUGAUUAUUGAAGCGAAAAAAUUACGAUUUACUGUUCAAUGGUUGAACUAGUGGUUGAACAGUAAUAAAACCGAUAACAUCAUAAAUAUAUCAUUUAUAUAUUAUUAAAUUAAAAAUAAUUUUAAAUUUUUAAAAUUUUAAAAUAUACAUAUAAAUAAAUUAAAAAUCAAUAAUAUUUAUUUUUUAUCUUUUAUAUUAUUAAAUUAAAUAAUGCAUGACUAUAAAUGUAUUAAUAUACUAAAUUUUAUUAAAUGAGAUAUGUAUAAUAUUUUAAGUGGAUAUAUUAAAAAUCAAAGAAAAUCCAAUUAUUUAAUUUUAGCUAAUUUUAUCAUUUUUAAAAAUAUUAUAUUAUUGUUAUUCAAUAUUUUUAAUUUUUAUUUUAGAAAAGAAAUAUAUUGUUUUUUGUUUGCCUUACAGAGCAUCAAAACAUCUGUAGCCGGAUGGUGCCCCCAGGCCACUUCCUAAGCGCUUUUCAUUCACUGAUUUUCCCUUCAACUUUAAGAUCAUAUUGUCCAUAAGAAAAAAAAUAUGGGCUGGCAUUUUAAAAUGGGCCUGAUUGAAUAAAAAAAGAAAGGGUGGAAAUAUAGGGAGGGCCUUGGAAUUGGGCCCAUUUUGAAUUAAAAAAAAAAAAAAGGGUCAUUGGAUCGAGACUGUUCGGUUCUGCAUUGUGCGGAAUAAAAGAAUAUGGGCUGGCAUUUUAAAAUGGGCUUGGUUGAAUAAAAGAAGAAAGGGUGGCAAUAGAAGCUUGCCCUUGGAAUUGGGCCAUUUUGAAUAUAAAAAAAAAGGGUCAUUGGAUCGUUCGAUUUACCGGUUCGGGAGAGAAUCCAGACCGGAAAGAUUAUCAGAUGACAGUUGGACUAAAAUUAAAAUUUAAAACUAUUGUAUAUAUAUAUAAAAGAAAAAACUUGAGCGAAAAAAUAGAAAAUAGGUUUAAAAUUAAUAAAUUAUUUUUAUAUUUAUUUAUUUUAAUACUUUUUAUAUAAAGAUUAAAUAAUUUUAAAAUAUAUAAUUUUUUAUUAAUUUUAAUUAUAUAUAUUUUUAAACAUAAUAAAAUUAUUUUUUAAUAUUUUUUAUUUUCUUAGUAUUUUUCAAGGAUAAAAAAUAACUUAUAGGAAACCGAUGAAACGUUAUUUAGUAUUUAUUUCUUUUAGAAAUUCAAACAGGAAGUUGGUUUUGAAUGGUCUACCUUCAAUUGGUCAAAGUUUGUAGAAGAAAUGACGCCCACGAACCACGUGCCUUGGUUUCUUAGUCAAGCUCUAACAAUAACAAAAAGUCAAAAAUAUUAAUCAGUUCCAACUUCCAACUGUAACAUUCUUGGUUACUUCCUUUCAAAUGUGAAGUCUGGGUUUCAACUUUCAAACCCUUCCACCAC
rnacentral:lncRNA from 1 species